rnacentral:lncRNA from 1 species
UUUUUUGUAGUGUCAACAUUUUUGACGUACUGCUGCGUCAUACGUCGUGGUUGGAGCAUGUCCCUUGUGUCAUUGCAUGUCUAUUUCUUUUGGAUGGAUUACAGUCAUAUUCAUAGUUUUCCUAAUUUUAAGGAGAGAUAGUUGUUUUGCCCCUACUAAUUCGGAUCCUUGAAAAGUUAUCAUAAUGGGUCAUUAGGACAAAGAUUCUCGGUUAUAUAAAUUGAACACUAACAGAAGGGCCGUCGGUCAUAAAGAGGUAACAACCACAGUCAAUCUCGUGAAGAAUGGGAAUCUAUUAUUAGGUCUUUCAAAAAUAAACGUCAAUACCCCAGUUAUAAAAUCGAAGCCGUUAUUGAUUCCCUCGGCCGCAUCAAAUUUUGGAUCUCAUAAUACUUGAACAUUAAUGUCACGAACUUCAGCAGGUUUAUCGAAAACUGAGCCUGACAAUAUUUUUUCGACUCAUCAAAGCACUGCUCAUACAACAAUACCAUAUUCAGCAUAUGACCAGUUAUAUACGAAUGACUGGUUGCAAACGUCAGAGGGGUUGGAACAUUUAAUCUAGCCACGUAAAAUCUAGCCAGAAUCUAAACUACAAUUAAAGAUGAAAGAUGAAAAUGAUUACCUAUGGCAUUGCUGACUAGGACAUGUAAGUCUACAUAUGAUGAUAAAGCUGAAUACAGAAAAUAUACCAGCCUUUGCAAUCAAGGAAUUAUAUUAUAAACAUUAUUUGGAAAGAAAACAAACAAGAAAUGUAAUAUCCAAAGAUGGAGCCACUAGAUCAAGGAAAUACUUGAGUUAAUACAUGCCCACUUAUUUGGUCCUCUACUAAAUAAUUUCUCCUCUUUAUUAAUGACUAUUUUAGAAAAACUUGAAUUUAUUUUCUCAAAGAGAAGAAACAAACUUUUGAAAAAAUCAUAGAAUUCAAAGUAAUGAAAGAAAGACAAAUGGAAAAACUUAUCAAAGGUUUAAAAAUCAUCAAUAGAGGAGAAUUUAUAUGACAAGACUUCUCAAAUUAUUGUACAAGAAAUAGCAUCAUUUGACAAUUCAUAUUGCCUUAUAUACGCUAACAAAAUGAAGUAGUGGAAAGAAGAAAUAUAUCAAUAUUAGACAAAGCAAGAUACAUAUUAUUAUCGAGAAAACUAUCCAUUUAUUUCUAGCCUAAAGCAACAAAAACCACAAUAUAUCUAUGAAAUAGGCUACCAAGAAAGACAAACAAUCUCAAUAUGUGAUGAGAAGAACUGUUUUUUUUGGGAGUAAACCAAAAUUAUGCCAUUUGAAAACAUUUGGAUGCUCAAGUCUGGUGCAUAUAGGACAUCAAUCAAGAAACAACUAAGGAUGAAAUUUCUAGUGAUUCAUACAACAAAUUGCUCAUUCCUUCACAAAAAGGUCUAUGCACACAAUAUAUAAGUUAUUUUUGGUAUAAAAAAUUAUAUACAUGGAAUGACUCCAGUGGAUGAAAAAUUAAAGCUCAAGGUUGAUAUGGAAGAAGAAGAAGUAUAUUCAAUACAAUAUUAUAGCAUAGAUGGCAAAUAUCUCCACUUAAUCUACAUUUAUUUUCAUAUUCAAUUUGCCACAAGGAUUGCCAAUAGAUUUAUGCCAAGACCUCAAAAAUCACACCUAUUGGUAGCAAAAAGGAUUCUAUGUUACAACAAGUAUACUCAUGAUUAUGAAAUUGUAUAUAGAGAGAAUAAUCAAAAUCACCUUACUAAAUAAGCAAAUUCCAACUGGGUAGGAAAUAAGCAUGCUCCUGCACAAGUUUUGUAUUCAAUAUUGUCAAUAUACCCAUAUGAUGGUCAUCUAAGAAACAAACAACAAUAGCUUUAUCUUCCUCACAAGUAGAAUAUAGAGCACUAGCAAAAGCUUCAAGAGAAGCUACAUAGAUAUCAAUACUACUCAAAGAUUUGCAAAUCAAGAUACAACAUCCAAGAAUCAUACACUAUGACACUAUUGGAAAUAUAAGCAUAGCUACCAAUCCAAGAAUCAGUCCAAGAACAAGUCAUAUUGUUGCACAUUAUCAUUUCACCAAAACAAAAAUCAAAGCAAGAAAACUCAAUCUUCAAUAUGUACCAACCAUGGAACGAGUAGCAAAUACUUUUACAAAACCACUAGGAAGAUCUUUAUUCAAUAAAUUCCAAGAAAGAUUGAAUGUGAUAAGCACAUUCAGUCUAACCAGACAAAAAUUUAAAAAUAAAAAGAACAAAAGGACUUAAACAAAUAAAUACCUAGUUUAGAACAUAGUUUCUAGUAUCUGUCCUCUUUCAAAAUGCUUUAAACUUGGCACCUCUAAAGCCCUUAACCUCAACCUCACAAGCUGUCCAAGAUGCAUAGACUCCUGGAUGAAUUCCACAUUCUAAUGCAUAGUAUCUACAAGCUAUCAAGCCAUCACCAGAAACUCCAAUGGUGUUGGAAGUUGAUGAACUUGGGUGAUGAGCCGAAACUGAAGAGUCAGCAGCAAAUCCAAAUGAAUGAGCAGAAGAAUCUUCUCCCGCUCCAUCUUGACCAAGAGCCUCAACCGGAAUAGAAAACAACCUUUUCUCCAAUUUCCUCAACAACCAUUCGCAGAGACAUGCUAUGAAUGAGAGCAGCGACCCAAUGACAACCAAGUAGGCUCAAAUCUACAAGAUCAGAACAACCUAUUUUCAGUAGAGAACAAAAUGAAUAGAGACAAAGAAAACUGAAUUCAGUAAUGAAAAUAAACUUACGGGCGAAUCUCGAGGGCACUCCACUUUCCGAGCAUUCGGACCACUCCACGGACGCUACGCCAAUAGUUCGCAACGCAGAAAAGGAAACCCACGUAGAGCAAAGAAAAAGGUAGUAGCUCUGAGGUAAAACCGGAAAUCUCAACCACGGGAGCGAAGGAGGGUGUUGGAUACAGACCUCGGUUGAUACUAUAGAACCUAGACAUCAACAUAAAGAAUGCAACGAUCCGAAACCUAUCGAUCGUCGGUAUUUUCUCUUGUACUUAACUCUCGAGUUGCUUACACUAAAAACCUUUGUGCAAACACCUGUAUUGGUGUCCCUUCAGUGAUCUCCUGAGUCUAUUACAGGAACACUGUUACUGUCGAUUAGUAGAACUACUCAGCGAUUGUCACACAGGUAUACAGGAAAAACAAGGAGUCAACAAGAUCUGAAGAUAAACUCUUCUACAAUGGCUCACUAUCUACAAAUACUAUAUCCGUAUGUCUACAAGCUGCUUUCCACUUUUCUAGGCAUGCAAAAAAUAAAUGAAUCAUCUGACUCUUAUUUCACCGAGCUCAAGCACAGCACCAGUGGAAUUUCCUUUCUCAUAACGACUUCCACCUCCACUUGAAGAUUCCAUGAAAGACGACUCGCCUUCCUCCUUUACAGUCCUAAGAUCACUCCUGCGACCGGCAAACAACCUCAUGGUCUCCAAGAGUUUCUCCUCAUUCCCUGGCUUCAGCGCCACAACCUCUGCCUCACUCUCUCCUUGCAACAUCGCCACCACUCGCUUCACGCUUGGCCGCUCCUCUGCCUCGUUUUGGAUGCAAAGUACAGCGAUGUUCAUCACACGAAGCACCUCCACCUUUUCUUCAUCUCGCAGGCUCAUUGUACGAUCCACCGAGUCCACCAACUUACCCUGCCGAUACAGUUCCCAACAAAACUACCUCAUUCAGAAAUUCGUCGCACCUCUGAUCGUCUUGUUGGGCACACUGCCCACCUCCAACGGACAUAUUACUACUACAUGGUUCUAUACUCAACAACGUAAGCAGUCCCACUCCUUCAUGUGAAUGUGUGGUUACAUAAUUAGCCAGCCAAAGGUUUAGGGACAACCGAAUACCGAUGCAGCUCUUGAUUGAUUGCGGCACAGUUGGACGUCGGUUGGAAAAAUGAUAGUACUUGUAAGAGUCUAACGAAACUCCAUUCUUUCGAAGAGACCGGUGUGAAUGAACAGGACUCUGUUCCUACACGGACUAGUUACAAAUGAACUAUUGUCUGGGUUAACUUGCAGUGGACGCAAUGUAUGACCAACUCAAGGCAUGAAAUCAAACCCCCACCUUGAGACUAACUUGGCUGGGUGUGACAAGAAAUCCCCGUAUCCGUGCUUCGACCCAGACCAUCGCAAUUGGCGUGGGAUGCAGUGUCUCAACUUCAUCAACUGUCCAUCAAAUACCACGCAUCAGGAUUGCGAUGCCCACAUUAUAGGCGUGUGAGUGUUAACUACUUUAAUUUAUUCUGUUUCCAAAUUGUUGCUCAUGCUGGAAUCGAAUUUUGCUCCUGGACAACUGCGGGGUGGACGUGCUGCCAGCCUUGUAGACCGCUUUAUAUGUACAACUGCUUCUGAUUCAUCGUGUCGCAUCCAUUAGUUUUCUGAUUUUUCAAGGGUUUCAUAGCCACAACAAACAGGACUCUCCAAAGUGCAUCACUUGUAGGCUCUAUACCACCAACAAUUGGAAACAUUUCCACGCUGUAUACAAUGUGAGUCUCCGAAAUGUCCUUGAUUUUUGCUAUUACCUGCUGAUAAGAAUUCAUGAUCCAGUGUUAACUUGGUUUAUGAAAAUUGAAAUUAUCCGACAGAUCAGCACUUAAAAGCAAGGUAUCAAUUGACAUCGGACUGUGAAAUGUUCAGUGUUGGUUCAGGAAAUUCACUUUUUCAGCAUCCUCUUUACGGAAGACGACACUAAGAGGUGGAUCCUGUGAUGCAGGGAGUUGACAGGAAAUCCAAAUCUCACUGGACCUCUUCCACGGACAUUGAAUGAAACUAGUCUUAGCAUUUUGUAAGACUCGAAUUCAGAUGUGCAGUUCUCGUCACUCGCGACCAAAUUAUGCAUCUAAAGUUUGCCACUGCAUUUGAGUUAGAUGCCAUUAUGCAAUUUAUAUGUGAGAUGUUGUUUUGAUUCAGAUAUGAUACAGUAAUUGCAUGUUGCUGAUGCAAACACUGAAAGUUGUUUGACUGCUCUUAAUUCCCAGGGAUGUUCACGACAAUGCGUUGGAGGGUGAAUUCCCUGAUUACGGGGUCCUUCCCGAUUUCUCAAAUUAGUCAGAUGGAGUACCUCCAAACAUUAAGACUCGGUAGAAAUCGUUUUGAGGGGCCGGUCCCAGCACAAGCGUUUGAAAACAUGACGGAGCUUUUCGAACUGUAAGAAUCCGAAUUUCUAACAUCUGAAAUUAGAUAUUCGAGUUUUUUAGUCCAGUAUUUCAUGCAACUUAAUCUACUAGUCUCUAUCGGCAAUCAAAACGUACUAGUCUCGAAUGGUUUGAGAGUUUGGAAGAUCCAUGCUUGUGCCCUAUUUCUGAAGUAGAAGUGGGUUGAAUAUGUCCACAGGGGAUACUUGGCACCAGAAUAUGCGUCGUGUGGUCGGUUGAGUGACAAGGUGGACGUUUACAGCUUUGGAGUGCUGUGUUUAGAGAUCGUGAGUGGAAGAAGAAACAUUGAUGAUUCUUAUCCUCCUGGCGAAAUGUAUCGGUCCAAAUUGGUGAGGAUUUCGCUCUUUUUAUCACAUGUAUGGUAUCACUACCUUCAAUUGAGGGUGAUCGCUUUGGUCCAAAAUGGAGUUUAUUUUCGUAGGUGAAUUGAAUGCUAGUUAUUCACAUGAUGGUUGAGCAGAUUGGGCAUGUAGGGAUCAGCAUAUGGCUUAUUGUCUCGGUGGGUUCGUAGGUAUGGGAUCUGUAUCGGCAGGGUAAGUUGGUGGACUCGGUGGAUCGUACAAUGAGCCUGCGAGAUGAAGAAAAGGUGGAGGUGCAUCGUGUGAUGAACAUCGCUCUACUUUGCAUCCAAAACGAGGCAGAGGAGCGGCCAAGCAUGGAGCGAGUGGUGGCGAUGUUGCAAGGAGAGAGUGAGGCAGAGGUUGUGGCGCUGAAGCCAGGGAAUGAAGGGAACCUCUUGGAGAGCACCAGGUUGUUUGCCGGUUGCAGUAGUGGCCUUGGGACUGUAAAGGAGGAAGGCGAGUCGUCUUUCAUGGAAUCGUCAAGUGGAGGUGGAAGUCGUUAUGAGAAAGAUAAUUCCACUGGUGCUGUUCUUGAGCUCAGUGAAAUAAGAGUCAGAUGAUUCAUUUAUUUUUGCGACGCUAGAAAAGUGGAAUGCAGCUUGUUGACAGACUUGGGUCGAUAAUAGAUCAAGAUUGUUCGUCAGUGAAGGGACAGAUGUAGUAUUUGUCGAAAGUGAGCCGACGUAGAAGAGGUUUAACUUCAGAUCUUGUUUUCUUCCAUGGUGAGGUUUUCUGUGCAACUUUCGAUCUUGUUGACUUCUUAGCUUGGUCGUGUUCUCUAUGCAACCUAGCAGAAGGAGGACAUGAAUAUAUAAUGCGAUAAGAAUUAGUCUUCUCCCAUCAGAUAAUCUUGAGUAUAAGUUAUGAUCACCUAUUCCUUGUUGAAAUGAAUAAGAGUCUGAUUUUUCAUACCAUCUGGAGAGGCUUGUUUAGUCCAUAGUGUUUUUUUUAGUUGGAAAAUCGUAAUAUUUUGAGUUGGCAAAUCAUAUUUUCUUUGGGAGAAAUUUGAACUUCUUUUGAUUUUUGAACAUAUACUUCUUCUUUGAAGUCGUCAUGAAAAAAUGCAAUUGGAACAUCCAUGUGAUAUAGUUUCUAAUUGAUUUAUGUUGCAAUUGAAAUCAUGGCCCCAAUGGUGGCCUAUUUUACUAAUGGUUUAAAAGUUUCUUUAUAGUCAAUGCCUUCUUUUCGUUCAAAGUGUCUUGCAACUGGUGUAACUUUGUGUUUUUGAAGUGAGCUAUUAGUAUUCAAUUUUGCCUUAUAUGUCUAUUAAGUUGAGAUAGUAGAUUUACUUGGAAGUAGAUUUUUAAUAGUUCAAGUUUCAUUUUUGUAUAUGGAGUUCUUUUCAUCUAGCAUGGCUAUAUUUCAUCCUUGAUGCAGUGCUGCUUCAUAAUAUGUGGUUGGUUCUAGAUUUGAUAUAGUCAUCAAUCUUACAAAAUGGUCUUUCAUCCAUCAUGGUACUGUAAUUUGUUUGUCUAUUCUUGUAAUAGAUGAUAAUGGCCAAAUAGGAUUGAUUUCGUGAUUUGGAGAGUAUACUUGUUCAACAGAAGAUAUAUCAUGAUGAAAUUUGAUGAUGGGUCAUUCAUCAAUUUGAUUCUUAGAAAAUAGCUAAAAAUAGAUGUAUCAUUUUUUCAUUUCUUGUAUACAAGAGUGAGCAAUUUGCUACAUGGAUCACUAAAAAUUUCACCCUUGAUUGUUUCUUAAUUAAUGUACUAUGUGCUCAUGAGAUGAGCAUCCAAAUGUUUUCAAAUGGCAUAAUUUUGGUUUACUCCCAAAAAACAUUUCUUCUUGAUGAUAUAUUGAGAUUGUUUGCUCUUGUUGGUAGCCUAUUUAAUAGAUAUAUUGUGACAUUUGCUGCUUUUGGCUAUAGAUAAAUGGAUGGUCUUCUCAAUAAUAAUAUGUAUCUUGCUUUGUCCAAUAUUGAUCUAUUUCUUCUUUCCACUACUUUUAUUUUGUUGAGGUGUAUAAGGCAAUAUGAAUUGUUAAAUGAUGCUAUUUCUUGUACAAUAAUUUGAAAAAUCUUGUGAUAUAAAUUCUCCUCCAUUGUUGGUUUUCAAACCUUUGACAAGUUUUUUGUUUGUCUUUCUAUCAUUACUUUGAAUUACAGGAAUUUUUUAAAGAUUUUUUUCUUCUUUUUGAGAAAAUAAAUUCAAGAUUUUCACGAAUAGUCAUUAAUAAAGAAAAGAAAGUAUUUUGUACAAGAUAAAGGUGCUUAGUUCACUGAUAAAUCUUCCAAAUUCUCUGACGUUUGCAACCUGGCAAUUGUAAAUAAUUGGUCAUAUUCUGAGCAUGGUAUUGUUUUGUAAGCACUGUUUUGAUGAGUCGAAAAUAUACUGUCGGGCUCAGUUCCCGAUAAACCUGGGGAAGGGGGUGGUUUUAAUGUUCGUGUUAUGAGAUCCAAAAAUUCAUGCGGCCACGGAAGUCAAAAAAGGCCUUGGUUUUAUAACUGCAUCAUGACGUUAUUUUUUAAAUGCCUAAUAAUAGUUUCUUAUUUUUUAUGAGAUUGGUCGUGAAUAUUGGUUGUGACCUCUUUAUGACGACUGCCCUCGAUUCGUGUUCAAUUUUUAUAACCGCGAAUCUUUGUCCCAGUGACCUGACAAGAGAACUUUUGAAGGAUCUGAAUUAGUAAUGAUGAAUCAACUAUCUCUUCUAAAAAUUAGGAAAACUGUGACAACGAUUGUAAUCCAUCCAAAAGCAAUAGGCAUACAAUGACAAAUGGGACACAAUCUAACCAUGACGUAUGACGCAGCAGUACGUCAAAAAUGUUGACACUACGAAAAGGAAAUCACAUGAAAAACCGAUUGUCGAAUGGAGAGUAUACCAAACUUGAGAGACAGGGGAGGGAUGAGGGUGGAAUUGAAGAUGAAGAAGCGGAAGGGGAAACGAAUGGAAAUGCGAGGCGGUGGUGGAGGAGCUCAGUGAGAGCCUCUCUCACUCCCUCCCUCUCGCCAAGCAGGACAGGCGAGGCCACCUCCGAGCGAACUAACACACCAACGAACGAACGAGCAGCCCAAGGAACGGUGGUGAGCCUGAGACUCGCCCCCGCCAACACGCUCCCUGCCCGGCGCUCUCAAGGGCAGGGCCAGGAAGAAGGGAGCCAUGUGGACAUGUGUCCGUGCGCGCGUGUGGGGACGUUGAGGUUGACUUUGACCCUACAUCCCCACAAUUUAGGACGUGUUUUAUAGAAUGCAUUCACAUAUUAUAUAUACAAAUGAACUGAAAAAAAUAGUUCUUUGAAUCUUACCUCAUAAGAAUUUCAAUCAGGUGAAGGUAUUUAAUAAUUACAUUAUUUUUUAUGUAAAAGAAUAUUAUUUAGGAAAAUUUGGUUCAAAGUAUAACAAUGUUUUGCAACAAUUAAAUGCAAGAUCAAGAUUUACAUUUGUAAAUACAUAUUUUUAUUGCUAAAUCUAAACUAAAAUCACUUUGUAUUAUCCUAUACUACUUUUUACACUUUCUGUGUUCUAAAAAUGUGUUACAUACAAAGUUUUCAUAUUGGUUUUCAAAAUUUCAUUUUCAUAAUGCGUAUCUCUCGUUCCUUAUCUAAGUAACCCAUUUCUAUUCCCAUUUUUAAGAAACUAAAUUAUGUAUUUUUAAAGAAAAUAAGAUUAAGCCUAACCACUACCAAAUAAGUUCAAGAUCCUUCUGCGAAACAGGAAGACUCCGGCCCCGCCGACCCGAGGAAUUAUCAGGGGAUCGGGCUGUCCAAUUGCGGUCCAAGCAAGACCUUCUUCGUCGCAGGGCGGACUGGUAGGCAGAAGGAUGAAUGCCAUCUACCAACAAUUCACAUCCGUAACAAUAAAAAUUUGCCUCGUUUCUCCAGCAUUGACGAUGUUGAAGGGCUGGUGGUCCUCACCGACACUGUGAAUGUGCGAGACCACAUUCAGCUCACCUCAGAAAUCGGUAGAGGCAAUCGAUAUGAAGUGAGCAAAGCAUUGGACAAGAGCUGUCUGUCUCGUUUCAUCAGGUUGUUGUGCUUUCUCUGUCGACACCGUAAUCAGAGCAAAUUCACACUGAGAGCAGAGUGCAACUAAGCGGGAGACACCAUGGGUCUCAAACUGGGCGUCGGGAAGUAUUCUCUUGUCCACCAAUCUUGCUUCGUCGCAGCUCUCAUCGUCUUGUUGGGCACACUGCCCACCUCCAACGGACUGAAUACUAUUGUAACUUUCUUUCCGCAACAACGUAAGCCGUCCCACUCCCUCAUGUGAAUGUGUGGUUACAUAAUUAGCCAGGGCAAAGGUUUAGGGACAACUGAGUACCGAGGCAGCUCUUGAUUGAUUUCGCUGCACAGUUGGACGUCGGUUGGAAAAAUGCUAGUACUUGUAAGAGUCUGACGAAACUCCAUUCUUUCGAAGAGACCGGUGUGAAUAAGGAGGACUCUGUUCCUACACGGACUAGUUAGAAAAUGAACUAUUGUCUGGGUUAACUUGCAGUGGACGCACUGAAAGACCUUUUGCGAGCAUGGAAUCAAACCCCCAACCUUGAGACUAACUUGGCUGGGUGGUACAUAAAUUCGAAGUUUCCGUGCUUACUCGAACGGCAUCGCAAAUGGCGUGGGGUGCAGUGCAUCGACUACAUCGACUGUUAUUCAUUAAAUAGCAGCCAUCGAGAAUGCUUUUCCAUCAUUUUAGGCGUGUAAGUUUUUACUACUUUGAUUUAUUCUGCUUCCGAAUUAUUGCUUAUGCUGGAAACGAAUUUCGCUCCUGGACAACUGGGAGGUGGACGUGCUGCCAGCCUUAAUGACCGCUUCAUAUGUACAACUGCAUCUGACUCAUUGUGUCGCAUCCAUUAGUUUUCUGAUUUUUCAAGGGUUUCAUGGCCACAUCAAACAGGACUCUCCAAAGUGCAUCAAUUGUAGGCUCUAUACCACCAACAAUUGGAAACAUUUCCACGCUGUACAGACUGUAAGUCUCUAAAUUGUCCUUGAUUUUUGCUAUUACCUGCUGACAAGAAUUCAUGAUCCAGUGUGAACUUGGCUUAUGAAAAUUGGAAUUAACCGAUAGAACAGCCCUUAAAAAGCAAGGGAUCAAUUGACAUCGCACUGUGAAAUGUUCAGUGUUGGUUCAGGAACUUCACUAUUUCAGCUUCCACUUUACGGACGACGACACUAAAAGGUGGGUCCUGUGCUGCAGGGAGCUGACAGGAAAUCCAGAUCUCACUGGACCUCUUCCAGGGACAUUGAAUCAAACUAGUCUUGCCAUUUUGUAAGACUCGAAUUCUGAUGUGCAGUUCUCGUCACUCGCGACCAAAUUAUUCAUCUAAAGCUUGCCACUGCAUUUGAGUUAGCUACCAUUGUGCAAUUAAUAUAUGAGAUGUGGUUUUGAUUCAGAUAUGAUACAGUAGAAACAUGUUGCUGAUGCAAACACUGAAAGUUGUUUUACUGCUCUUAAUUCCCAGGGAUGUUCACGACAAUGCGUUGGAGGGUGAAUUCCCUGAUUUCGGGGUCGAAUGGGAUCGGCUCAUGACACUGUAAGCUCUGUAACAGAGUAGUGUGCCAAACCAUGGUUUGUUGUUUUAAUUUCUCAAAUGCUUCCAGCAGAAAGACUGUCGUCAUCUCACAAAACGCAUUGGCACUUCAACAGGGACUUAAGUGGCAACAAGUUCUAUGGGUCCUUCCCGUUUCAUCGAAUACGUCAGAUGGUGUACCUCCAAAUAUUAAGACUCGGCAGAAAUCGUUUUGAGGGGCCGGUGCCAGAACGAGCGUUUGAAAACAUGACCGAGCUUUUCGAACUGUAAGAAUCCGAAUUUCUAACAUCUGAAAUUAGAGAUUCGAGCUUUUCAGUCCAGUACUUCAUGUAACUUAAUCUGCUAGUCUCUUCCGGCAAUCUAAACGCAAUAGUCUCGAAAGCUUUUAGAGCUUUUGCUACAUCUUAGGGGUCGGGUAGCGGUGAAUGGUUUGUUGUGGUGGCUACUACUCCUGUAACUCGUUUGAGUCAGAGUCGCUCUAAUCUCUCACUAUUCUUGUGUCUCUGGGAUUGACAGGGACUUGUCAAGCAACAAGUUUCACGGGACACUGCCAAACCUGACAAUGAUACAUUCCUUACGCACUGUGUGAGUUUCCGAUGCCCAGGAUGUGUGUGUAGUACCUUACAAGCUUAAGCAUAACUGUGCAAUUAUGUUGCCAGGUUGUCAAUAUUGUAACGGAAAAGUUUAAACCACGCAUAUCAGUUCCUUAGUUGCAUUCCUCACAUUGGCUAACACUUGCAGCAGGGACUGCCAUGACAAUGAAACACAGGAUAAAGCACAAUGUAUCUUGCAGGAGGUUAAUAAUAGCAACUUCAAACAGGCUCAGGUGAAACCCGGUGUAUCUUAUAUUUUUGAGCAACAGAGGACGAAGUGCUCUGAUUCCUGUAUUUAUGUCUUCCACAGGAAUUUGAGCAGGAGUGGAUGUACAGGAUCAUUUCUGAUUUCGUCGUACUUCAACAGAACUGAGGACAACAGCCUUCUAGUGUUGGAUAUAUCGCACAAUCCACUCACACUCGAUCAAAAGUUCUGGAGCUCCUACGAACUUGGCUCGCUCCAGGAGCUGUAAGCUCAUUUUAUCAAGUUUGAAAUUACCCAAAUUUAGAGUGUGGAUGAUUUAACCAGACGCCAUGUAAUAUACUUCCUUUAUCAUGGUUAAAAUACAUUUCAUUAACCAGUAUAUAUUUUUAUCAGGUUGGAUGAAAGAUUUAGAAUUUCUGCAAUUCAAUUAUCAAAAUGUUGCAAUUCUAUGGAAGUCGCCUCACAAGAUACAUUGCAUUACAGGUAUCUCGACAACAUUCGCACCGAUCCAACACUGAACAUCAGUCGACUGUAUGACCUGGGCUUACUCAUGUCUAAAAACUCGACAGCAAAAUCAAGCAUGCUGACAGUACUUUCAUUGAUGAACAACAGCAUUAGCAAUGUUGUCUAUGACGCCAAGUCUAUCGUUGAUAUCGCCACAGUUAUCAGGUGAGCAUGCCCUGGCGAUUGAUGGCAAUCCCUCCUGAUAAAGAUAGAAACGAUCUCUAAUAGAUCAGCUUGUCGAUCAAUGGUAGCUGGAAGGUGCCGAUGAUCCUUUUGCUCUGAGUAGCUUUGUCCUUAUCAUGAUAACAAGUCUGUGGAGGGAAUUGUAUGACUGGACCUAAAUUCACAGGUAGCAUUGGUUACCGAAUCGUCACAUUGGGUUGUGCAGACUGCAAGGGAAUCCAUUCUGCAAGUGUCCACAUUCUGAUGACGGAAGGAAAAUGUUCUGUGCACAAACUUGCUUCAACUCAGGUAUUGGUCCUCGUCCUUUAGGUCAAAUGAACAUGUCAUUCUCAUGUUUUUUUGUCAACCAUGCUUAUGAGAGUUCGUCAUCUUGUUUCAGUUCCAAUGCAAGAAAGCAACCGCAAGAUUACGAUAAUCGCUGUGGUGGUCAGUGUAACCUCAUCACUGAUCCUAAUGAUCAGUCUGGCUAUUCUAUUUCAUAGGCACAAAAAGCUCAAGCAGUAUCAGGUUCUGGUCCAACAAAGUAAGAACAUGAUCUGCACUUCUAGGAGUACACAAUAUCAAAUUUGGCAUGAUAUUUGUAGCUCAUGCCUGAUUCAUUCUCAAAAUCAACUGCAGCUUUAACCGUUGUUUACAAAAGUACUGAGGUUUGUAUUCGCUCCAGAGUUUGAAGAGUUUGAGGUGAAGCCAACUAUAUUCACCCACAGCCAGCUCCGAACUGCCACACGCGACUUCCAUCCCGACUUGAAGUUGGGCGAGGGAGCCUUUGGGAGAGUGUACAAGGUAAAAUGUGAACAACGUCGAAGAAAUAUUGCAGAUCAAGACGUCUACUUUUCUGCCGAAAACCAUGCAGAUCUACUGUCUGUGUGCCACAUGGAUGGUAGUAAGUAGAAGAUAGUGGGAUUUGUUUCCAAUUUAUUACAUCGAAGAUUUCGACUAAAUGACACCGUCUUUGUGACUUCUCGCAGGGGAUUUUGCCGAAUGGAAAUGUCAUGGCUGUGAAACUACUAUUCCCCCAAAAGACUUCCAAGGGUUUAGACGAAUUUCUGAAUGAGGUAGUUUUGUUGACAGGAAUGAAGCACAGGAACCUUGUGAAUCUGAAAGGGUGUUGCAUUCGUGAACAACAAAGAUCGUUGGUGUACGAGUAUGUUGACAACUAUGACGUUGACCAGGUUCUUCUAGGUGAGAUGAACCCUCAACGUGAGAACUCUAAUCUUACACAGCGUCUGUGACAGUUUUGCAAUUCUUCAUUGACAACACUCCAAUCACUUAUUCUUGAUUCUUUUUGGAUUACUCUCACACUUGCUCUUGUUUAUGAACAACCUGAAACCAGUGGAAAUUUGGUGGUAUUUAAGCGAUAAUUAGCACCCUUUACACCUUGUGUUGCCACGAUUUCGUUGGCGCAGGGGGUGCAAACAAGGCCGACUUGAGCUGGCCUGUGCGAUGGAAGAUCGUCUUGGGAGUGGCCCGCGGUCUACAUUACCUCCAUGCACUUGCACAUCCGAGGAUCAUCCAUCGAGACAUCAAAGCCAGCAACAUCUUACUAACCAAGAACUACGACACCAAGAUAGCAGACUUCGGCUUGGCGUUGCUUUUUCCUGAUGAACAGAGUUGUAUAGUGACCAAGCAUGUUGCUGGUACCAAGUAAGCUCAGUAGUUAGUUCAAGUUGUGAAGUUCCGGCUCAGUAGUUACUGGAAGUUGUGAAGAUCCAUGUUUGUGCUCACUUCUGAAGUAGAAGUGGGUUGAAUAUGUCCACAGGGGAUACUUGGCACCAGAAUAUGCGUCGUGUGGUCGGUUGAGUGACAAGGUGGAUGUUUACAGCUUUGGAGUGCUGUGUUUAGAGAUUGUGAGUGGAAGAAGAAACAUUGAUGAUUCUUAUCCUCCUGGCGAAAUGUAUCUGUCCAAAUGGGUGAGGAUUUCGCUCUUUUUUUCACAUGUUUGGUAUCACUACCUUCAAUUGAGGGUGAUCGCUUUGGUCCAAAAUGGAGUUUAUUUUCGUAGGUGAAAUGAAUCCUAGUCAUUCACAUGAUGUUUGAGCAGAUUGGGCAUGUAGGGAUCAGCAUAUGGCUUAUUGUCUCGGUGGGUUCGUAGGUAUGGGAUCUGCGUCGGCAGGGUAAGUUGGUGGACUCGGUGGAUCGUACAAUGAGCCUGCGAGAUGAAGAAAAGGUGGAGGUGCUUCGUGUGAUCAACAUCGGCCUACUUUGCAUCCAAAACGAGGCAGAGGAGCGGCCAGGCAUGGAGCGAGUGGUGGCGAUGUUGCAAGGAGAGAGUGAGGCAGAGGUUGUGGCGCUGAAGCCAGGGAAUGAAGGGAACCUCUUGGAGAGCACCAGGUUGUUUGCCGGUUGCAGUAGUGACCUUGGGACUGUAAAGGAGGAAGGCGAGUCGUCUUUCAUGGGAUCGUCAAGUGGAGGUGGAAGUCGUUUUGAGAAAGAAAAUUCCACUGAUGCUGUACUUGAGCUCAGUGAAAUAAGAGUCGGAUGAAUCAUUUAUUUUUGCCACCCUAGAAAAGUGGAGUGCAGGUUGUUGACAUCUUUGACAGAGUUGGGCAGAUAAUUGAUGAAAAUAGUUUCUUCAUUGAAGAGACAGAUAUAGUAUUUGUAGAUGUUGAGCCAACGUAGAAGAGGUUUAACUUCAGAUCUUGUUGACUCCUUAUUUUGCUUUUAUUCCUGCACGACAAUCGCUGACAGUAAUUCUACUAAUCGACAGUGACACUGUACCUGUAAUAGACUCAGGAGAUUGUGGAAGGGACACCACUACAGGUGUUAGCACAAAGUGUGUUUGUAUUAGUAAUUCGGGAGUUAAGUACAAGAGAAAAUACCGACGAUCGAUAGGUAUCGGAUCGGGGGCUUUGUUGUAUCUUAAAUGUUGAUGUCUAGGUUCUUUAGUAUCAACCGAGGUCUGUAUUCAACACCCUCCCUCGCUCCCGUGGUUGAGAUUCCCGGUUUUACUUCAGAGCUACUGCCUUCUCUAUGCUCUGCGUGGAUUUCCUUUUCUGAGAUGCGAACUAUUGGCGAAGAGUCCGUGGAGUGGUCCGAUGGCUCGGAAAGUGGAGUGCCCUCGAGGUUCGCCGGUAAGUUUAUUUGCAUUCCUGAAUUCAGUUUUCUUUGUCUCUAUUCAUUUUGUGUUCUACUGAAAAUAGGUUGUUCUGAGCUUGUAGAUUCGAGCCUUCUAGGUUGUCAUUGAAGUCAUUACAAGUAUAUAAUAUUUUAUGUUAAAAAUAACUUAUGUAUUGUGUGCAUAGGCCUUUUGUUUCAUAAAAAUUUCUUCUUUUAUUUGAAUGCAUUCGGCUUUAAGAUAGAGUGUAAUUUCUCCUCUUGAUAGUGCAGACAUUUCGAAACAAUCAUGUAAUUCUUUUUAAAAUUUGGUCAUGUUUUUUGUGCAACUAUGAAUCAUAAGGAGGUCAUCAAUAUAUAAUGAAGUUAGAAUUAGUUUAUAAUUAGAUAAUCUUAACUAUAAGUUAUAAUCACCUAUUCCUUAUUAAAAACCUGCUUUUUUUUUAAAUAAGAGUGUAUUUUUCAUACCAUGCUUGAGUCGCUUAUUUUAAUUUCCAAACCAUAUUUUUUUUUCAAAGAAUUUCAAACCCUUGUGGCUAAGUAAUAUAUACUUUUACUUUUAAAUCCUCAUGAAGAAAUUCAAUUUUAACGUCCAUAUGGUAUAGUGUCCAAUAAUUUUGUUCUGCAAUUGAAAUUAUGGCUCUAAUGGUGGACCAUCUUAUUAUUAGUACAAAAGUUUCUUCAUAGUCAAUGCCUUUUUUUUGUUCAAAGCUUCUUACAAUCAAUUGAGCUUUGUAUUUUUGAAGUGAGCCAUUAGUAUUCAAUUUCACCUUAUAUAUCCAUUUAGUUGAUAUAGUAGAUUUAUUUGAAGAUAGAUUUGCAAUGGUCUAAGUUUUAUUUUUGUAUAUUGAGUUCAUUUCUUCUAUCAUAGCUUAUUUCCAUCCUUAGUAAAUAAUUGCUUCAUGAUAAGUGGUUGGUUCUAAGUUUGAUAUUGUCAUCAAUCUUGCAAAGUGGUCUUUCAUCCAUCAUGGCACUAUGCUUUGUCUGCCUCUUCUUAUAAUAGUUAAUAAUGGCUAAAUAGAAUUGAUUUCUUGAUUUAGAGAAUGUACUUGUUUAAUUGAUGAUAUAUCAUUAUGAGUUUUAAUGAUGGACUAUUUAUCAAUUUUUAUUCGUAGAGUAUAGCUAAAAAUAGACAUAUCAAUUUUAUUAUUCUUUUUGUAAAGAAGUCGACGAUUCUCUACAUGGAUGACUGUAAAUUUCACCAUUGGUUGUUUCUUGAUUAAUGUCCUAUGUGCACAUGAAAUGAGUAUCCAAAUGUUUUCAAAUGGCAUAAUUUUGGUUUAUUGCCAAAAGAACAUUUCUUCUAUUGACAUAUUGAGAUUGUUUGCCCUUGUUGGUAGCUUGUUUAAUAGAUAUAUUGUGAAUUUUGCUCCUUCUGGCAUCAGAUAAAUGGAUAGUCUCUUCAAUAAUAAUAUGUAUCUUGCUUUGUCAAGUAUUAAUCUAUUUCUUCUUUUCACUACUUCAUUUUGUUGUGGUGUAUAAGGUAAUAUGAAUUAUCAAAUGAUGCUAUUUCUCGUACAAUAUUAGGAAAAGUCUUGUGAUAUAAAUUCUCUUCUAUUAUUGAUUUUGAAACCUUUGAUAAGUUUUCCGUUCGUCUUUUUAUCAUUGCGUUGAAUUCUAUGAUUUCUAAAGGUUUGUUUCUUUUCUUUGAAAAAAUUAAUUCAAGUUUUUCUAAAAUAGUCAUUAAUAAAGAGGAGAAAGUACUUUGUAUAUGAUAAGGAUGCAAUUGGUAGAGGAUCACAUAAGUUGGUAUAUAUUAACUCAAGUAUUUCCUUGAUGUAAUAGCUCCAUCUUUGGAUAUUGCAUUUCUUGUUUGUUUUUCUUUCAAAAAGUGUUUACAAUAUAAUUUCUAGAUUACAAAGGCUGGUAUAUUUUUUGUAUUCAACAUCAUCGUCAUAUGUAGACCUAUAUGUCCUAGUUAGCAAUACCAUAUGUAGUCAUUUUCUUCUUUCAUCUUAUAAGACAUCUUUAACUGUAGUUUAGAUUUUAACUAGAUUUUACCUAGUUAGGUUAAAUCUUCCAAAUUCUCUGAAGUUUGUAUCACGGACAUACUCAUGUAAGCCAAUAAUUACAUAUAUAAAUAGGUAGAAGUAAGUAAAAGUAGAUAAAAGAAAGAUAAUUCUAUAGUAUAUGAUAUGGAAGCUUUCUAAAAGCUUAAUAUACGUUGCUUUGACUUUAUAGGUGUCUUUAAUUGACUUUUUGGAUUAGAAACGUAGUCAACAAGUUGGGCAUGUACUACACAUGUUAUUAGGUUGAAGACCAAUCUAACAAUGUGGCCCACACAUAGAAAAAUUUGCCUUGUAAGUCAAGGCAUGUGUCCUACAAAGUCAACACAUAUUGAAGGUCCUAUAGAAGGUUGCUACAUAGCUCCUAGUUAGAUAGUAUAUAUAGAGACAAGAGUGAAGCCUUCUUCACUCUUGUCAACUUCUUUCUUGUUUCUAGUCUAGGUUCAAGAGUCUUCAUAUUUUUUAGUCUUUGGUAAUAGCCAUUCCAAUUUCUCUUUCAAUAUACAUACUUGUUUAUUUAUAUUUUUUUUAUCUUUCUUUUAGUAAAGGCUCACUUGUCUGAAUCACUUUUUCAUCAAGUUCUUGUCCUUGACAGAUUGAUAAGAGUACACUUAUAAUAUCAAAGCUUUGUCUUAUCUUGAUUAAGAGUGGAUUAUCCCUUUUUCUUGAUAAGAUACAAGCAUAUUAGAAGUCGCGGAUUACCCUCUUCUAAACUGAUAUUGUCUUUAGUAUUUUCUUUGUUCUCAAGUCCUCUCUUCUAUUUGUCUUGAGUGAUAUUAGACAUCUUUUCUUUUCUAAGUAUUAUCAUGAGACAACUUGCUGAAAUGAAGUGUGCAAUGGCACAAAUGUAAGAACAAUUGAGGGAGUUAAUGCUUGCGAUGCAUCAACUCAAUUUGCCACCAUAAGAAGUACUAAGAUUGGCAAGAAGUGAAGAUAUAGAAAUGAUUGGAGCUGCUUCAAUAUCUACACCAAAUCAUAUCUUUUUUCCUAUAGUAGAAUGCCCUUCUAGUGUUAGAGAGCCAAGAAUUGCCCUACUCGAGAAGUUUGAUGGCACCAGAUCUAAGUUUUGAAGAUUUAUCAAUCAAGUGCAACUUGUGAUUGAACUUCAAUCCCAAAGCUAUCCAGCUUUAGGAUCGCAAGUUAGAUUCAUUGAUAUGCUUUUUUCAGGUUCACCACUAUCAUGAUUUUCAUCUUUUCUUGAAUGACAAGAUCCAAUAUUGGAUAAUCUAGAGGCUUUUUUGGCGGAAUUUUGAUCCAUGUAUAGAGAACAUGAUGCAAUUCGUGUUGCAACCAAUAAGAUCCAUAUUUUAUGACAAGACAAUCGAUCAAUAACGUUAUAUGCUUCACAAUUUUGACAACUUGCAAUUGAUAUCAAGUAGGAUGAUGUUGCACUUAUUAGUCAAUUUCUCUGUCGAUUACAAUAUGAGGUAAAAAAAUUAAUACUCAACUUACCUGAUUCUCAAACAUUGAGUCAAGUAAUUGAUUUUGCUAUGAAGUGCGACAAUCACCUUUUUAAAUUUCAAUUUGAGAAUUUUACAAGUGCACCUCAACGUAACUAUAAUUUAAUAGCAAUACCAAUAUCUCUUCAACACAUACAUUCGGAAGUAGAGGAUAUGCAAAUUGAUGCAAUACAUUUCAAACUUCUUAUUGAACAAGAAAAGACUCAUUGUUGUCAAGAAGGAUUAUGUUUAUAUUGUGGAGAAUCAAAACACACUAUUCAACAUUGUCCAAAGAAACGACGCAACCACAAAAUGAGGAGUAUGGUUGUGAAAGAAGACAAUAUGUCAGAAAACGAGUUUGUCUAGCUACAAUAGAGACCGUGUGGCUGGAACUUGGCACAACAUCUAGUAAAGGUUCUAUUCUCUCCUCAGAAUCCUCUCUUUCUUUUACAUUAAAUAUCAUUUUAGGACCUAAACAUUAUAAAGUCUGUGCCUUGUUAGAUUCAGAAGCCUCAGUGUAUUAUUUAGAUAAAGAAUUUAUUAAAAGACAUAGCAUAUCUUUAGUAAAGAAAAUUAAACCUGUUCAUGUAGAAGUCAUAGAUGGUCGUCCAUUGUCUUCUUGAGAUAUUACUCAUGAAAUCUUUCCUAUAGAAAUAAUAAUUAAUGGUCAUAAUAGCUUUGUAGUAUUUAAUAUCAUUAGAUCUCCCUCUAAUCCAAUCAUUUUAGGUUUAUCGUGGUUAAAAAAAUACAACCUUUAAAAAGAUUGGAUUUCUCAAACUCUUACUUUCUCUAAAAGUAUAACUACCAAUGUAGUUAAUCAAGUAGAGAGUCAUAAGUCCAGUUCAAUUAAAUCUGUAUAUAUAGGUACAAAAGCUUUCUUGCAUGUUGCUAUGAAAGAAUCACCAUAUAUUAUUUAUGCCACGCUCGUUUUUAAUGAUGCAAAAACUUCACGUGGCAUUCCAAGUCAAUAUCAAGAAUUUCAAGAUGUAUUUGAAAAAAAAAAUGUGCAUACACUCCCAAAACAUCAUUCCUAUGAUUGUUCAAUUGACCUUCAAGAAGGAGCACAAUUGCCAUUUGGACCAAUCUACAAUUUAUCACAAAAUGAGUUGACUGAACUCAAGGAGUAUAUUGAAGAAAAUCUAGCCAAGAAUUUCAUACGCCAUUUUAAAUCUUUGAUAGGAGCUCCAAUUCUUUUUAUGAAGAAAAAAGAUAGAUCAUUGUGGAUGUGUGUUCAUUAUCAAGGACUCAACAAGAUUACCAUCAAGAACAGGUAUUCAAUUCUUUUAAUAUCUAGACGUCUUGAUCAGUUGAAUCAAGCUAAGAUCUAUACAAAAAUAGAUCUCUGAGGAACAUACAAUCUAAUAUGCAUGAAAGAAGGAGAUGAAUAGAAGACUGUGUUUCAAACUAGGUAUGGACAUUUUGAAUACAAUGUCAUGUCUUUUGGACUUACAAAUGCAACAGUAGCUUUUCAACAUCUAAUGAAUGAUGUUUUUCAAGAGUUUUUGGACGAUUUUGUGGUUUGUUAUCUAGACGACAUCUUGAUCUAUUCUAAGAAUCCAGAGGAACAUGAACUUCAUAUUCGUCAUGUGUUACAAAAAUUAAGAGAUGUGAGACUCUAUGCUAAGAUAGAAAAGUGUGUAUUCUACACUACUCAAGUCAAUUUUUUAGGUUACAUCAUUUCAAAUGAUGGAUUUAUGAUGGAUCUUAAGAAAGUUCAAACUAUUAUAGAUUUGAAGAUCUCAGAAAUAGUAAGAGAUGUCCAAUGCUUUUUGGGAUUUUCCAACUACUAUCAGAUCUUCAUCAAAGACUUUUCUCGAGUUGUAGCUCUACUUACACGUUUGACUUGUAAAGACAAACUUCAAUGGAAUCAAGAAGCAGAAGUUGCUUUUGAAUCUUUGAAGAUAGCAUUUAUUUCUACACCAAUCUUGUAUCGUGUUGAUUUUUCCAAAGUGUUCUUUAUAGAAACGGAUGCAUCAAACUUUGCUCUGGGUGCGAUUUUGUCACAAAUGGAAACACAUGACAAACUUCAUGCAUUAGCCUUUCAUUCAUGAAAAUUCUCAGUAGUAGAAAUCAAUUAUGAGAUCCAUGACAAAGAACUUCUUGUAAUUGUGGAUUCUUUUCAAGAAUGGCGUCAUUAUCUAGAAGGCGCUUCCAGUUUGGUCACCGUGUAUACGGAUCACAAGAACCUUGAGUAUUUCAUGUCAACAUGCGUAUUAAAUCAUCGUCAAGUCUAAUGGAAUAUGUCUUUAUCAAGAUUCGAUUUCAUCAUCACUUAUCUACUACAAAAACAACAAGGUUUGUCCAAUGCCUUGUCUAGAUGUUCUUAUCUUGUACCAAAAGAAAGAGAUGCAGCUUUUGAGCAACAAAGAAUGGUUUUCUUGAAGCCAGAGGAAUUUCAUCUUCGAGCAAUAAAAUCAACAUUGAUUGUUGAUUUAACUUUUUUUAAGCAAGUCCAAUUAAAUAUGUCUUUAGACCCUCUUAUUCAUGAUAUCAAGAAUAAUUCUUCUAAAUCUCAUGAUCCCUCAAAAUUCGAGUUCAAGAACAACCUACUCUAAUUCGAAUGACGCUUAUAUGUUCUAGUAGGAGAAGCUUGUUUACAUGUUCUUCAAGCUUGUCACGACUUCCUAGUAGUAGGACUUUUUGGAUACAAUAAGACUUUGGAGCUAAUAUCUAGGAAUUUUUGGUAGCUUCAAAUGUGGAAGGCAGUCAAAGAUUUUGUACAAUCAUGUGAUGUUUGCUCAAGAUCAAAAAUUCUUCAUCAUCAACUUUUUGGACUUCUUCAGCCGUUAUCCAUUCCAAAACAACUAUGUUCUUCUGUUUCUAUGGACUUCAUCACGGAUCUUCCAAUCUAAGGUUCUUAUGACUCUAUAUUUAUGAUAGUAGAUCAUUUCACCAAGAUGGCACAUUUUGUACCAUGUAUAAAAUCUAUCACAGGUGAAGAAACAGCUAAGCUCUUUCUUGACAAUAUCUAUCCCUAUCAUGGAUUAUCCAAGGAUAUUAUAUCAAAUAAGGGAACUCAAUUUGUAUCAAGAUUUUGGCGGACUCUUUUCAAGAUUCUUAAAGUGGAUAUAAAACUAUCUUUGAUAUUUCAUCCUCAAAAUGAUAGACAAACAGAGCGUGUUAAUCAAGUUUUGGAGCAAUAUUUAAGAUGUAUCAUUAAUUACCAACAAGAUGAUUGGACAACUCUUUUGCCAUUGGUAGACUUUGCUUACAAUAAUACGAUAUAUUCUUCUAUAAAACAAACACCUUUCUUUGCUAAUUAUGGUUAUCAUCCACGACUUAAUACUUUUAACUUUUUAAAAGUUGAUAAUCCUGUUGUGAAAGAUUUGGCGAUUCAUUUGUCAAAGCUAUAUGCAAUGAUGAAGGCGCAGUUAAAAGAAGCUCAAGAACAACAAAAGAUCAAUGUGGAUGUGUAUCGUAAGGAUCAACUACCAUUCUACUUGGGUGAUAAGGUAUGGCUACUUCAUCGCAAUAUCAAGACUACUCGUCCUUGUGACAAGUUGGACUAUCAAAGGCUUGGACCAUUUUCUAUUUCUGCACAAAUCAAUCUAAUUGCAUAUCGUUUACAUCUACCGGAGUCAAUAAAAAUCCAUCUAGUAUUCCACGUAUCUCUUCUUGAACCAUAUAAGACAGUGGACAUACCAAGAAGACGACAAGCUCUACCUCCUCCUAUAGAAGUGGACAAUAAUGAAAAGUUUGAAGUAGAAGAAGUCUUAGAUUUAAAGCAGCGCCAAAAUAAAUUAAAAUAUCUUGUCCAUUGGCACGGAUGUAAUAUUAGUGAAUGCAUUUGGGAGCCAGUUAAGAAUCUUGCAAAUGGAACAAAGGUGAUGGAGGCUUUUCAUCGACGAAAUCCAUCAAAAUCAAGAUGAAAACCUUUUUUAUAAAAGAAACAAAAUCUGGGCAAGCAAACAUUCUACUUUCAAUCCUUGUUUGUAGCUUCUUUGUAGUUGUGACGCUCAGGUGAUGGAGAACCAAGAACGAGUGGAUUUGACUCAAGAGCCUUCAUUUGCUGACCUAUCAGAAAAGACAUUAUGAUUGUUACAAUCUUCAAGACGAUGCAAUCAAGAUAAAGAUCUUCAAGAAGGACAUAUUCUUCCUCGAAUAGAUGGCGAGAUACAACGUGUUUGGUAUCACGACUUGGGAAGGGACUCCCGAUGUUUGGUGAUUUUACUAGAAGUAGGAACAAUUCCUAAUGGUGUUCUAAAUAUUCUAUUUGAAAGAAGUUAUGAAGGCCUCAACAAUGAUCAAAUUAUUGGAUGGUCUUCCUGCCUUGGUAUGAGACACUACUAAUGGUUGAGAGGCCCUAUCAAUCAUCUUCAAAGAGAAUAAAGAUCAGAGUAUGUUGCGAAUAUAAUUCAUCACAUCAUAGAUUUUCUCAACAUAUGAUGACUACUCCUCCUGGAACUUGUUCCUAGAAGGUAGGUUAAUGUCACGGACAUACUCAAGUAAGCCAAUAACUACAUAUAUAAAUAAGUAGAAGUAAGUAAAAGUAGAUAAAAGAAAGAUAAUUCUAUAGUAUUUGGUAUGAAAGCUUCUUAGAAGCUUUAUAGAUGCUGCUUUGACUUUAUAGGUGUCUUUAAUUGAUUUUUUGGAUUAGAAACGUGGUCAACAAGUUGGCGAUAUGCCACACAUGUUGUUAGCUUGAAGACUAAGCUAACAAUGUGGCCCACACGUAGAAAAAUUUGCCUUGUAAGUCAAGGCAUGUGUCCUACAAAGUCAACACAUAUUGGAGGUCCUAUAGAACGUCACCACGUAGCGCCUAGUUAGAUAGUAUAUAUAGAGACAAGAGUGAAGCCUUCUUCACUCUUGUCAACUUCUUUCUUGUUUCUAGUCUAAGUUGAAGAGUCUUCAUAUUUUUUAGUCUUUGGCAAUAGCCAUUCCAAUUUUUCUUUCAAUAUACAUACUUGUUUAUUUAUAUUUUGUUAUCUUUCUUUGAGUGAAGGCUCACUUGUCUGAAUUAUUUUUUUAUCGAGUUCUUUUCUUUGAUAGUUUGCUAACUAUCAUUUAUAAAUAAGUGGUCAUAUUUUGAGUACGGUAUUGUAACAUGGGCAGUAUUUUAAUGAGUCAAAAAAAUACUGACAAGCCUAGUUUUCAAUAGACUUGAGGAAGGUGGUGGUUUUAAUACUCAAGUAAUAUAAAAUUUUUGAUAAACCUAAGAAAGGUGGUGGUUUUAAUACUCAAGUAAUAUAAAAUCAAUAAAGACUUUCAUUCUAUAAUUACAGUAUUGACAUUUAUUUUUAAAUACCUAAUCAUAGUUUUCUAUUUUGCAUGAGAUUGACCGUAAAUACUGAUUGUUAUCACUUUAUGAUCAACAGCCCUCCCAUUAGUGUUCAAUUUUUAUAAUCGCAAAUCUUUGUCCUAAUGUCCCAACAUAAUAACUUUUCAAGCAUCCGAAUUAAUAGUGGCAAAACAACUAUCUCUUCUAAAGAUUAGGAAAACUAUGACUAUGAUUGGAAUUCAUCCAAAACGAAUAGGCAUACAAUGACACAAGGGACACAAUCCAACCACAAUAUAUGAUGCAAUAGUACGUCAAAAAUAUUGACACUAUAAAAAAAAAAUAUAUAUAUAUAUAUAUAUAUAUAUAUAUAUGAAAAACCAAUUUUCAAAUAAAGAGUAUACCAAAACCUUGGUUUAAAGUCUAAUGAAUAAGUCCAAGAGGCCAAAACAAGCAUUAAACUAGAAAAUUUGCAAACUUACUCAACAACACCCAAUUACUUCGGAUAAGCUUCUCAGCUCCUCCAGCCAACUAUGCAACUCAAAACGAAAUUGCUUCGCCUUCACAAGCGGCACCCAUCAUGACUCGCACCGUUUUCAAAACCUCACAAGUCCGCCUAGUUCCUUCUCCCCUCCUUCAACCAUCCAAAUUUAUAAACCUAUCACUCAUAUGAUCCAAAUUUGUAAUCCACUGGAACUGUAGAUGUCCAAUGACACUAGUCUAAUCUCUUCUUGACUCCUCAAGGUCUGAAAAUUGCUACACAUCAUGACAAACUCGAAAUAGAAAGAGAAAAAAAAUGAAAAGUAAGGCAUUGCUGAGGUGGGUAGUACCAAAAUGAGCAUAGAAUCCACACACACAUAUGGAGUGAAAGAGAGAGGGAGAGAGAGAGAGAGAGAAAGAAAGAGAGAGAGAGAGGGAGAGAGAGAGAGAGAGAGAGAGAGAGAGAGAGAGAGAGAGAGAUGAGGGAAUAGAGAGAAAGAAAGAGCCAGAGGGAUCAAGUGAAGAUAGAGAGAUAAGGUAGGGAGGAAGAAAGGGAUAAAAAAUGAAGAAGUAGAAGAGAAAAAAAAACUCAUGUGCGAGGUGGUAUAAGGGUCUAAAUGAUCAGAUGCUUGCACUUGUGAGUCAAAAGAUUUGGAGCCCCAACAAUCCCCAAGCCCAGCGGAAAGCCAUGGCGAGGUAGUAAAGGAGCGGUUGGACGGGCCACCUCCCUCACACUAAGGGGCCAUACGAUGCAAGGACAAUGUGCGGUGUGUGAGAAAGUCUUUGGAGUCCUUGUCAAGUCUCGGGUGAUUUGGAGGAGUCACGAGAACUCUGACAGCCACCGGAGUUGAGUUUGUUAGCGUCUUAAGUCUGGAAUUAUAGGGACUGGACUAUGGUGACAGUAUCCGGAAAUAGGGACCAGUUCACGGGGCUAGCACUAACGAGAUUUUUUGUUGGCUGUGUCUCAAGGUGAAACCAAAUGAUAACUAGAAGAAAUCCAUUACAUGUAGUAUCAGAGCCUAUUUUAGAUCGGAAUUGAAAAGUAGUUUGGAGGAAAAUUUGUGGAACCAAUUGUUGGACUAAAACAGAGGAGCAUUAGUAAAAGAUAGAGAAAAAAACUACCAAAACUGCCUUUCAACGAUUAGAUAAGGAUGAGAUCCUUGAGAUUGAAGUAUAAGUGGGUCAAGAAGUAACCAAACCAAAAAGGAGGUUGAUGAAAAAGAAACCUUUGCUUGAAGAAGAACUUUCUCCUAUCCAAGUGAUGGAAAGUGAAGAGGAAGCUCAAGGAGAGCAAGAGAAGUUUCAACAAACCUUGCAAGAAAUUCAGGAACCUCAAAGUGAUGAAGAAGAAAGUGAUAAAGAAGAAAGGAAUCCUAGAUCACAGAGGCCUACUUCUUCCAAAACCUCCAAAGAUUCAAUAGAAGAAUCAAGAGUAGAGAGACAAAGUGUUGUCUGCCUUGAUGAAGUUGAGAAAAUAGUUGUGAGAUUGAUGGAAGUGAAGAACAAGGAGUUUGAAAAGAAGAUGGAAAUAAACCAACUUCUAAUAGACUCUUUAAUGAAAGAGAAUGUGAGAAGGGAGGCCUUGCUUGAAGGUCAAAAGGGUAAGUUAAGUUCUCAUAGAGCCAAAACAAAUCAACCAAAAAAGUGUAAAGGCACAAAGUACAAAAGAACAAUAAGAAGGUUUCUUAAGAAAAUCAAACAUUGGCACUUAGCCAAUGAUAUUGAAAGUGAUGUAGAUAAGAUAAGGACCUUAUCUGCAUUACUUGAAGGAAAUGAUUUGGAUUGAUUUGAUGGGAAAAUCAAAACAAAUCCUAACUAUGCCAAAGAAACGACUUGGAUUGAGGUUUGUGAGGAACUGAUAGGAAGGUUUGAUAGUAAGUAGCAAAACUUCAUUGAAGGAUUGCAACUUCUCAAGCUAAGGCAAGAAGGAGGAAAGGCCUCACUUCUUAAAUAUGUUGGUGAGUUCCAAAACCAACUAACAUAUUCUCAAGUAGACUAUCAUAAGUGUUUAUUGCUUUUCUUUUAUAAUGGAUUGAAUGUUGCAACAAGAAAGAAAUAUUGGGAAAGGAAAACCAUACCUAUCAAUAUUACUAAUGCCUUUGUCCUAGCUUCUCAACUUGAAUUGGAAGAACAAGAUGCGGGUCAUUAUGAACAAAACACUAUGUUCAAAACAUAGGAAUGAAAGGCUAAUUUUUAAAGGGGAACUAGGCUCUUCUAUGGAAGUAAGAAAUCAUCUUUUCUCAAGAAAAAAUUUGAAGAAGGUCCUUCUUAAGUUGAGAAACUUAAGAUCAAAGAGAGACAAGGAAGUGGCACUAAAAAGACAAAAGUAAGUUCGUCUAAUGUAACUUAUUUCUAGUAUCAACAAAAAGUACAUUAUGCAAAUGACUGUAAGAAUGAAGAAGUGCCUAAAAAAGUAAGUGAACUUCCUAACACUUCUUUAUCAAAUAAGACUCUUGAAGUACAUUGUCUUCAAGUUAUGAGUCUUAGUAAAAAGAUUUUGAUUAAAAAAAGAGGUUUUCAAGGAAAACUCACUUCAAUUACUUUACACAAGAAACUCAUCUAUCUCAAUACUAAAGCUGGGAAUUGUAAAACCUCCAUGUUGAUUGACAUAGGAGCAAUCAACUUGUUUAUGAAUCCAACUUAUGUCCAAAGGCCCAAAUUGAUUCAAGAAGAAACCAAGAGGGUAAAAAUUUCUUUUACAGAAGGCGAGGAAGUGACCAACUGAGUUGUAAAGGAUGUGAAGUUUAAUUGUCCAAACCAUAGGUUUCAAGAAGACUUCUUAAUCUGUGACUUUAGUGGAAUAGAUGUAGUUAUAGGAAAUACUUUGUUGAACUUCUAUGGAAUUAAACUUAGAUGGAAUUCCAAAAUAAGAAUAGUCAUGGUUAGAGAAAAUAAAAAAGUAGUAGACUUACCAUUUACAAACUUUCUCAUGUUCUAUCAAUCUAGGAUUUCUAUAGUAUCUUAGAGAGAAUUAGAAGGGGAACAGUUCUCUUCCACUUAAAAAGUUUUGAUGUUGAUUCAAUUGAUGAUAUAAAAAGUAUUUCUUUUUUUAAUAAUAAUGAGUUGAUAGAAAUAAAUUCUCAUUGUACAAACUUAGUUACUGAUCUUAUGUAUGAAUAUAGAGAUGUUUUGAUAAUGGAACUUCCAAAACAACUUCCACUAAGUAGGAUGGUGGAUCAUAAGAUAGAUUUGGUACCACGGUCACAAUCUCCAAGUAAAGCACCUUAUCAGUUAAAUCAAAGGGAGUUGAGUGAAUUCAAAGCAUAGCUUAAUGAGAUGCUUGAAAAUGGAUAUAUAAAACCAAGCAAAUCUCCAUUUGGAGCUCCAAUCCUCUUUGUAAGUAAAAAAGAUGGAAAAAUGAGGAUGUGCAUUGAUUAUAGAGUCUUAAAUAAGAUGACUAUAAAAAACAACUAUCCACUUCUGAGAGUCGAUGACUUAUUGGAUAGAUUAAGUGAUAGUAAACAUUUUAGUAAGAUUGAUCGUAAAAGUGGGUAUUAUCAAAUAAGGAUCGCUCAAAAAGACAUUGAAAAAACUACUUGUAGAACCAGAUAUGGUCCCUAUGAGUUUGUAGUAAUGCUUUUUGGGUUGUAUAAUGCACCUGCUACCUUUACUACUUUAAUGAAUUCAAUAUUUCAUAAGAAAAGUGAUGAGUUUGUAGUGGUGUACAUUGAUGAUAUUCUGGUUUUUUCUAAAAGUGAAGAAGACCAUAGACUACACCUCAAGAUAGUUUUGUAGAAACUAAGAGACAAUCAAUUGUAUGCUAACUUAAAAAAAAAAACAUGUUUUUUUUAGGAGAAUUGGAGUUUCUUAGGUAUAUCAUCAAUGGAGAGGGAAUAAAAUCAGAUCCAAAGAAGAUUGAAGCAAUAAGAAAUUAGGAAGUACCAAAAACUUAAAAAGGAGUGAGGUCCUUUUUAGAACUAGCAAAUUAUUAUAAGAAGUUUAUAAGGAACUUCUCCAAAAUUUCUAGCCCUCUUACUAGUCUCUUGAAAAAAGAUAACAACAUUAUUCAAUGGAAUGAUAAUUGUAAUGCAUCUUUUCAAGAAAUCAAAGAUGCCUUAGUAUCAAGUCAUGUCUUGUUCUAUCUUAAGUUUGAUAUGGAGUUUGAAAUCCAUACCAAUGUAAGUGAUUUUGCGAUAGGAGGAGUCUUAAUGCAAGAAAAGAGAUUGGUGGCUUUUGAAAGUAAGAAGUUGAGUGGAAGCCAACUAAGAUGGCCAACACAUGAGAAAGAAUUGUUUGUAGUGGUAUAUUGUUUGAAAGCUUGGAGACACUACUUGAAAAGUAGAAGAACCAAAGUAUACACUGACAACAUUUUUUUAAAGUAUUUUACUUCCAAAGUCCAAGCCUCACCUAAAGAAUUGUGGUGGUAUGAUGUGAUAGUGUCAAUGGAUAUUGAACUAAUUCAUAAACCGAACAAAGACAACUUAGUGUCUGAUGUAUUAAGUAGGAGAGAGGAAUUUAUGGGAAAAAAACUCCAUGACUCAAUGACAUUAAAGACUAUAGUGAAUAAUGAUGAUUCCGUCUUUAUAAAGGAUAUUAAGAAAGAUUAUGAGCAAGUUAAGGAUGCAUUUGAAAUUAAAAAAGCCUUUGCUCAAACUAAAACUACAAAGAAAAAAAAGAGACUUAUGGGAGUCUUUUUUAUAAGAAAUGGAUUAAUUUGGUUUAAGCAAAGUAGACUCUAUGUACUAGAAGAUAAAUGGAGAAGAAAACUAAUGUAUGAAAUACAUGAUUCUUCAUGUGGUAGACAUAGAGGUAGGAAAGUCACAUGUAAAGAAGUAACAAAAUCCUACUAUUGGCCCUCUGUAAAAGAAGUGGACCAAUAUGUGAAGAGCUGUUUAGUUUGUCAAAAGAAUAAACACUCUAUUCAAGCAAAGAAUGGACUCUUAGAACCAUUACCUAUUCUAUCUCUACUUUAUAGAGAUAUUUCAAUGGACUUCAUAACUAGCUUACCAAAAUGUGGUGAAGUUAACUCCAUAAUGGUAGUUAUUGAUAGAUUCAGCAAAAUUGCUAGGUUUGUAUCAAUGACUAUGUUUUCGAAGGAUUCAAAGGAGGCAAUGGAAACUACCCCAGAAUUAAUAGCAAAUAUAUUCUUUGAUAAUUGGAUCUCUUUGUAUAAAGUGCCAACCUCAAUUGUGAGUGAUAGAGAUGUAAAAUUCACAUCUCAAUUUUGAUAGCAUAUUAUAAAGAAGCUAGGUUCUAAGAUAAUAUUAACUACUACUUAGCAUCUACAAAGGGGUGGCCAAAUUGAGAGACUCAAUGGAAUUCUCUCAAUGUAUCUAAGGCACUAUGUGGCAAGUGAUGAUAAGAAUUGGGUCAAAUGGAUGCCUACAGCUGAGUUUAGUUAUAAUACAACUCAGAAUGUGUCGUUAGGAAAUACACCAUUCCAAGUAGCUCAUGGUUUUAAUACACUUCGACCUAUAGAUUUGGUAGGAGUGAGACAGAGUGAUGAAAUAGUUUCGGAUUUUUAUUCAAUUAAAGGAGCUAAGUAGGUGGCAAAAAGAAAAGCCAUAUUACAAACCGCUAAAGCUAGACAGAAAUUGGCCAAAAGAAGAUAUAAGAAACAAGCAUAUAGGUAUAGAAGGGAUGUGCAAUUUGAAAAAUUAAAUAAAGUUUGGUUGAAUACAAGCAACCUCACUUGCCUAACACACAUUACUCCCAAAUGGACCCAGAAAUAGGCAGGUCCUUAUGAGAUUGAAAGAGUGCUAUUCAAGAAUGUCUAUAUAUUAGACAUACCUAAAAGAUUGAAGUGGCAUUCAGUUUUCCAUGUAAGUGUUCUCAAAAAAUUUGUGGAGGAUGGAAAAGGCUUCCACAAAGAGAAGGCAAGAAUUCCACUUGAAGAAGAAAUAUGGGAUCAAACCAUGGGACAAGUAGAAAUGAUACUUGAUAAGAAAUGGAUGGAUGUUAGAGGAGUUCAAUACUUGUAUACUUUCAAAGGAUAUCCUUGUAUACUUGUAUACUUUCAAAGAUACUUGUAUACUUUCAAAGGAUAUCCUUAUAUACUUGUAUACUUUCAAAGAUCCAAGACUACAAGGAAGCAGAUCAAAAACCACUAAAGGAUAGGUUGGUUAGUUGAUUGAUAAUUUGAGAGAGAUUAAUAGAAAAGGUGAUCAAGAAGAUGAGGGCAUCUUCACUCCAAAGUGGAGGAGGAUCACAACUUAUGUGACUUGUAAAAAAAAAAAAAAAAAAAAAAAAAACUUGAAAAAGAAAAUGGUAGAAGUUUUCAAGAAAUAAAAGAUUUUGAAAGGAUUCCAACCCGAGGAGACUUCAUAGAGGGAAAUCUUAAGAAGCUUGUUUGAGGUGGAUACAAGACUUUGAGCAACUAGGCCUAAACGGUUGGCCUUUUCUAAAUGGGUUUCAUAUUGAGUGAUAGCAUGUCACUUCCAUAUGGUAGGGAAGGGUAUUAGGGUGAGGCGGAUCCUAAUUAAGGGGUUCCACAGCCGCGGCUAAGUCUAAGUGGGGAAUAACAUCCCUAUUAUUCACAUUGGGAGAUGUGAACUUUCAAAAUUCAUAGAAUUGAGAAAACUUACAUCCGUUUUCUAUUUUUUUAUGACUUAUGUGACUUCCAAAGUAGAGGAGGAUCACAACUUAUGUGACUUGUAAAAGAAAAAAAAAAAGAAAAAGAAAAAAAAAAUCUUAGAAAAGAAGAUGGUGGAAGUUUUCAAGAAAUAAAAGAUUUUGAAAGGAUUCCUGCCCGAGGGGACUUUGUAGAGGGAAAUCUUAAGAAGCUUGUUUGAAGCGGAUACAAGACUUUGAGCAACUAGGCCUAAACGGUUGGCCUUUUCUAAAUGGGUUUCACAUUGAGUGAUAGCAAAUCACUUCCAUAUGAUAGGGAAGAGUAUUAGGAUAAGGCGGAUCCUAAUUAAGGAGUUCCACGGCCGCGGCUAAGUCUAAGUGGGGAAUAACAUCCCUAUUAUUCACAUUGAGAGAUGUGAACUUUCAAAAUUCAUAGAAUUGAUAAAACUUAAGAAAGUUGAAGGCAAAAGGAAAUUGCACAAGAAACGCGAGAAGAGGGUAGCGUCUCAUCUCAAUAAGGAAUUAGUAAAUCCUCAUCUACCCCUACAACCUUCUGAAUGACUAGAAGUGUAAAUGGAGGCUAAGUAGUUAAGGAGCCAUCAAGCUACUUAGGAAAAAAAAAUAGAAAACGGAUGUAAGUGCAAGACAUCCAUUAUAAAUAUUCUUUAAGAAUGGAAAAACAAAAAAAACAAAUGUACCUCAUAUGUCAAUGAGGACAUUGACUGUCCAAAGUGGAGGAGGAUGUAAGGAUCUAAAGGAUCAGACCCUUGCACUUGUGAGUCAAAAGGUUUGGAGCCUCGGCGAUCCCCAAGUCCAUGAGAAAGCCAUGGCGAGGUAGCAAAGGAGCGGUUGGGUGGGCCACCUCCCUCACACCAAGGGACCACACGAUGCAAGGGUAGCGUGCAGUGUGCGGGAAAGUCUUCGGAGUCUCUGUCGAGUCCCGGGUGAUCCGGAGGAGUCAUGAGAACUCCAAUGGUCAAUGGAGUUAAGUUUGUUAGUGUCGUAAGUCUGGAAUUAUAUAUGGACGAGACUGUGGUGACAAUAUCCGGAAACAGGGACCAGUUCAUGGGGCUAGCACUAACGGGAUUUUCUGUUGGCUGUGUUUCAGGGUGAAACCAAGUGACAACUAGAAGAGAUCUGUUACAGGUGGUGGUGGAGGAAGAUGAGCACAGUAUGAGUUCAUCUCUCUUACUCUCUCUCGCCAAGCAGGGCAUGUGAGGCCACAACCGAACGAACGAACCUAUAAUCGAACCAAUGAAUAGACAAAAAAAUUAACAAAAUCUGUUGAUCCUGAGACUCGCCCCCGCCACCACGCUCCCUGCCCAGUGCAUCCUCGAGCGGGGCCAAAAAGAAAAAUAUUAUUUAUAUAAAAUACUUCUACAUGCAGGAGAAUUUGAUUCAAAAAGCAACAAUAUUUGAACCAACUCAAUGUAUGAUUAAGAUUUACAUUUAUUGGUACUUUGACUUACAUUUAAAUAUAAAUUGAUAUUUAGAAAUAAUUAUUAUUAUUACAAACUCUAAACUAAAAUCACUUUGUACUAUCCUGAACUACUAUUUAUUGUUUGGGAAUUCUAAAUAUAUGUUUCAUACAAAUUUUUCAAACAGGAUUUGAAAAUUUCAUUUUGAAUAGGCGUGUUUCUCAUUCCUCAUCUUAAUAAAUCGUUUCUAUUUCCAAUUUAAAGAAACUAAAUUAUGUGUUUUUAUAGAAAAUAAGAUUAAGCCUAAACACCACUAAAUAAGUUCAUGAUCCUACUGCGAGACAGGAUGACCCCGCCGCAGCCGACACGAGGUUUUAUCGGGGAUCGGGCUGCCCAAUUGCGGUCCAAGCAGGACCUUCCAGGUCCCAUGGCGGAAUGGUAAGCAGAUGGAUGAACGCCAUCCACCGACAACUAACAUCUGUAAUAAAAAAAAAAUUAUGUCUCGUUUAUCAAGCAUUGACAAUGUUGAAGAGCUGGUGGUCCUCACCGACAGUGUGAAUGUGCGAGACCACAUUCAGCUCACCUCAGAAAUCGGUAGAGGCAAUCGAUAUAAAGUGCGCAAAGCAUUGGACAAGAGCUGUCUGUCUCGUUUCAUCACGUUGUUGUGCUUUCUCUGUCGACACCGUAAUCAGAGCAGAUUCACACUGUGAGCAGAGUGCAUCUAAGCGGGAGACACCAUGGGUCUCAAACUGGGCGUCGGGAAGUAUUCUCUUGUCCACCAAUAUUGCUUCGUUGCACCUCUCAUCGUCUUGUUGGGCACAUAGCCCAUCUGCAACGGACAGAAUAAAGAAAUAAUUUUUAAAUCCGGAACAAGGUAAGCAGUACCACUCCAUCAUGUGAAUGUGUGGUUACAUAAUUGGCCAGGCAAAAAUUUAGGGACAAUUGAGUACCGAGGCAGCACUUGAUUGACUUGGCUGUACAGUUGGACGUCGGUUGCGAAAAUGCUAGUACUUGUAAGAGUCUGACGAAACUCCAUUUUUUCGAAGAGACCGGUGUGAAUAAAGAGGACUCUGUUCCUACACGGACUAGUAACAAAUGAACUAUUGUCUGGGUUAACUUGCAGUGGACGCAAUGUAUGACCAACUCAAGGCAUGAAAUCAAACCCCCACCUUGAGACUACCUUGGCUGGGUGUGACAAGAAAUCCCCGUAUCCGUGCUUCGACCCAGACCAUCGCAAUUGUCGUGGGAUGCAGUGUCUCAACUUCAUCAACUGUACAUCAAAUGCCACGCAUCAGGAUUGCGAUGCCCACAUUAUAGGCGUGUGAGUGUUAACUACUUUAAUUUAUUCUGUUUCCAAAUUGUUGCUCAUGCUGGAAUCGAAUUUUGCUCCUGGACAACUGGGGGGUGGACGUGCUGCCAGCCUUGUAGACCGCUUCAUAUGUACAACUGCUUCUGAUUCAUCGUGUCGCAUCCAUUAGUUUUCUGAUUUUUCAAGGGUUUCAUAGCCACAACAAACAGGACUCUCCAAAGUGCAUCACUUGUAGGCUCUAUACCACCAACAAUUGGAAACAUUUCCACGCUGUAUACAAUGUGAGUCUCCGAAAUGUCCUUGAUUUUUGCUAUUACCUGCUGAUAAGAAUUCAUGAUUCAGUGUUAACUUGGUUUAUGAAAAUUGAAAUUAUCCGACAGAUCAGCACUUAAAAGCAAGGUAUCAAUUGACAUCGGACUGUGAAAUGUUCAGUGUUGGUUCAGGAAAUUCACAUUUUCAGCAUCCUCUUUACGGAAGACGACACUAAUAGGUGGAUCCUGUGAUGCAGGGAGUUGACAGAAAAUCCAAAUCUCACUGGAACUCUUCCACGGACAUUGAAUGAAACUAGUCUUAGCAUUUUGUAAGACUCGAAUUCAGAUGUGCAGUUCUCGUCACUCGCGACCAAAUUAUGCAUCCAAAGUUUGCCACUGCAUUUGAGUUAGAUGCCAUUAUGCAAUUUAUAUGUGAGAUGUUGUUUUGAUUCAGAUAUGAUACAGUAAUUGCAUGUUGCUGAUGCAAACACUGAAAGUUGUUUGACUGCUCUUAAUUCCCAGGGAUGUUCACGACAAUGCGUUGGAGGGUGAAUUCCCUGAUUACGGGGUCCUUCCCGAUUUCUCAAAUUAGUCAGAUGGAGUACCUCCAAACAUUAAGACUCGGUAGAAAUCGUUUUGAGGGGCCGGUCCCAGCACAAGCGUUUGAAAACAUGACGGAGCUUUUCGAACUGUAAGAAUCCGAAUUUCUAACAUCUGAAAUUAGAGAUUCGAGUUUUUUAGUCCAGUAAUUCAUGCAACUUAAUCGACUAGUUGUGAAGUAUUUUAGUUCAAGUUGUGAAGUUCCGGCUCAGUAGUUACUGGAAGUUGUGAAGAUCCAUGUUUGUGCCCUACUUCUGAAGUAGAAGUGGGUUGAAUAUGUCCACAGGGGAUACUUGGCACCAGAUUAUGCGUCGUGUGGUCGAUUGAGUUACAAGGUGGACGUUUACAGCUUUGGAGUGCUGUGUUUAGAGAUCGUGAGUGGAAGAAGAAACAUUGACGAUUCUUAUCCUCCUGGCGAAUUGUAUCUGUCCAAAUGGGUGAGGAUUUCGCUCUUUUUUUCACAUGUUUGGUAUCACUAGCGUCAAUUGAGGGUGAUCGCUUUGGUCCAAGAUGGAGUUUAUUUUCGUAGGUGAAAUGAAUCCUAGUCAUUCACAGGAUGUUUGAGCAGAUUGGGCAUGUAGGGAUCAGCAUAUGGCUUAUUGUCUCGGUGGGUUCGUAGGUAUGGGAUCUGCAUCGGCAGGGUAUGAGGCAGAGGUUGUGGCGCUGAAGCCAGGAAAUGAGGAGAAACUCUUGGAGACCAUCAGGUUGUUUGCCGGUCGCAGGAGUGACCUUAGGACUGUAAAGGAGGAAGGCGAGUCCUCUUUCAUGGAAUCGUCAAGUGGAGGUGGAAGUCGUUUUGAGAAAGAAAAUUCCACUGAUGCUGUGCUUGAGCUCAGUGAAAUAAGAGUCAGAUGAUUCAUUUUUUCUUCCAACCCUAGAAAAGUGGAAUGCAGCUUGUUGACAUCCUUGACAGACUGGGGUAGAUAAUAGAUCAAAAUAGUUUCGACAGUGAAGGGACAGAUCUAGUACCUAUAGAUAGUGAGCCAACGUAGAAGAGGUUUAACUUCAGAUCUUGUUUUCUUCUCUGGUGAGGUUUUCUGUGCAACUUUCGAUCUUGUUGACUACUUAGCUUGGUCGUGUUCUCAGUGCAACUUACCAGAAGGAGGUCAUCAAUAUAAAAUGCGAUAAGAAUUAGUGUUCUCCCAUCGGAUAAUCUUUUAAAAGGUUUGUUUCUUCAUUUUGAGAAAAUAAAUUCAAGUUUUUCUAGAAUAGUCAUUAAUAAAGAGAAGAAAGUAUUUUGUCCAUGAUAAAGGUGCAAUUGCUAGAGGACCACAUAAGUUGGCAUGUAUUAACUCAAGUAUUUUUUUGAUCGAGUAGCUCCAUCUUUGGAUAUUACAUUUGUUGUUUGUUUUCCUUUAAAACAGUGUUAACAAUAUAAUUUUUAGAUUGCCAAGGCUGGUAUAUUUUUUGUAUUCUACAACAUCAUAUUUAGAUCUACAUGUCCUUGUUAUAGAUGAUCAUUUUCUUCUUUCAUCUUAUCAGACAUCUUUAACUAUAGAAUAGUUUUUGGCUAGAUUUUUCCUGCUUAGUUCACUGGUAAAUCUUUCAAAUUCUCUGACGUUGGCAACCUGUCAAUUGUAAAUAACUGGUCAUAUUCUGAGAAGGUAUUGUUUUGUAAGCACUGUUUUGAUGAAUCGAAAAAAUACUGUCGGGCUCAGUUCCCGAUAAACCUGGGGAAGGGGGUGGUUUUAAUGCUCAAGUAUUAUAAGAUCCAAUAAUUCAUGCAGCCACGGAAGUCAAAAAAGCCUUGGUUUUAUAACUGCAGUAUCGACGUUAUUUUUGAAAUACCUAAUAAUAGUUUCUUAUUUUUUUAUGAGAUUGGUCGUGAAUGAUGGUUGUGACCUCUUUAUGACCGACGGCCCUUCGAUUCGUGUUUAAUAUUUAAAACCGCGAAUCUUUAUCCCAAUGACCCAACAUGAGAACUUUUGAAGGAUCUGAAUUAGUAAUAAUGAAUCAACUAUCUCUUCUAAAAAUUAGGAAAACUAUGACAAUGAUUGUAAUCCAUCCAAAAGCAAUAGACAUACAAUGACGUAUGACGCAAUCUAACCAUGACGUAUGACGCAGCAGUACGUCAAAAAUGUUGACACUACGAAAAGGAAAUCACAUGAAAAACCGAUUGUCGAAUGGAGAGUAUACCAAACUUGAGAGACAGGGGAGGGAUGAGGGUGGAAUUGAAGAUGAAGAAGCGGAAGGGGAAACGAAUGGAAAUGCGAGGCGGUGGUGGAGGAGCUCAGUGAGAGCCUCUCUCACUCCCUCCCUCUCGCCAAGCAGGACAGGCGAGGCCACCUCCGAGCGAACUAACACACCAACGAACGAACGAGCAGCCCAAGGAACGGUGGUGAGCCUGAGACUCGCCCCCGCCAACACGCUCCCUGCCCGGCGCUCUCAAGGGCAGGGCCAGGAAGAAGGGAGCCAUGUGGACAUGUGUCCGUGCGCGCGUGUGGGGACGUUGAGGUUGACUUUGACCCUACAUCCCCACAAUUUAGGACGUGUUUUAUAGAAUGCAUUCACAUAUUAUAUAUACAAAUGAACUGAAAAAAAUAGUUCUUUGAAUCUUACCUCAUAAGAAUUUCAAUCAGGUGAAGGUAUUUAAUAAUUACAUUAUUUUUUAUGUAAAAGAAUAUUAUUUAGGAAAAUUUGGUUCAAAGUAUAACAAUGUUUUGCAACAAUUAAAUGCAAGAUCAAGAUUUACAUUUGUAAAUACAUAUUUUUAUUGCUAAAUCUAAACUAAAAUCACUUUGUAUUAUCCUAAACGAACUUUUACUCUUUCGGAAUUCUAAAUAUGUGUUUGAUACAAAGUUUUCAUAUUGGUUAUCAAAUUUUAAUUUUGAAAAUGUGUCUCUCUCAUUUCUCAUCUUAGUAACCCAUUUCUAUUCCCAAUUUAAAGAAACUAAAUUAUGUAUUUUUAAAGAAAAUAAGAUUAAGCCUAAUCACUACCAAAUAAAUUCAAGAUCCUUCUGCGAGACAAAAAGACCCCGGCGCCGCUGAAUCGAGGAAUUCUCAGGGGAUCGGGCUGCCCAAUUGCGGUCUGAGCAGGACCUUCUUGGUCGCAUGGCGGACUGGUAGGCAGAAGGAUGAAUGCCAUCCAUCGACAAUUCACAUCCGUAACAAUAAAAAUUUGCCUCGUUUCUCCAGCAUUGACGAUGUUGAAGGGCUGGUGGUCCUCACCGACAGUGUGAAUGUGCGAGACCGCAUUCAGCUCACCUCAGAAAUCGGUAGAGGCAAUCGAUAUAAAGUGCGCAAAGCAUUGGACAAGAGCUGUCUGUCUCGUUUCAUCACGUUGUUGUGCUUUCUCUGUCGACACCGUAAGCAGAGCAGAUUCACACUGUGAGCAGAGUGUAUCUAAGCGGGAGACACCAUGGGUCUCAAACUGGGCGUCGGGAAGUAUUCUCUUGUCCACCAAUCUUGCUUCGUCGCAGCUCUGAUUGUCUUGUUGGGCACACUGCCCACCUGCGACGGACAGAAUACCACUAUAAUUUUCGACAGUAACCAAGGUAAACCGUCCCACUCCCUCAUGUGUAUGCGUGGUUACAUGAUUGGCCAGGGCAAAGGAUUUAAAAACAGCUGGGUACCGACGCAGCUCUUGAUUGACUUGGCUGCACAAUUGGAUAUCGGUUGGUAAAAAAGAUAGUGCUUGUAAGUGUCUGACGAAACUCCAUUCUUUCGAAGAGACCGGUGUGAAUAAGGAGGACUCUGUUCCUACACGGACUAGUUAGAAAUGAACUAUUGUCUGGGUUAACUUGCAGUGGACGCACUGAAAGACCUUUUGCGAGCAUGGAAUCAAACCCCCAACCUUGAGACUAACUUGGCUGGGUGGGACAUGAAUUCAACAUUUCCGUGCUUCGACAAAGGCGAUUGGCGUGGGGUGCAGUGUCUCAACUUCGUCAACUGUACAUCAUAUGGGGAGUAUCAGACAUGCUAUAGCUACAUUAUAGGCGUGUGAGUGUCUACUACUUUGAUUUAUUCUGUUUCCGAAUCGUUGCUCAUGCUGGAAUCGAAUUUUGCUCCUGGACAACUGGGGGGUGGACGUGCUGCCAGCCUUGUUGACCGCUUCAUAUGUACAAGUGCUUCUGAUUCAUUGUGUCGUAUCCAUUAGUUUUCUGAUUUUUCAAGGGUUUCAUGGCCACAACAAACAGGACUCUCCAAAGUGCAUCACUUGUAGGCUCUAUACCACCAACCAUUGGAAACAUUACCUCGCUGUAUAGACUGUGAGUCUCCGAAAUGUCCGUGAUUUUUGCUAUGACCUGCUGAUAAGAAUUCAUGAUCCAGUGUGAACUUGGUUUAUGAAAAUUCGAAUUAACCGAUAGAACAGCCCUUAAAAAGCAAGGGAUCAAUUGACUUCGCACUGUGAAAUGUUCAGUAGUGGUUCAGGAAAUUCACUUUUUCAGCGUCCUCUUUACGGACGACGACACUAAUAGGUGGGUCCUGUGAUGCAGGGAGCUGACAGGAAAUCCAAAUCUCACUGGACCUCUUCCACGGACAUUGAAUGAAACUAGUCUUAGCAUUUUGUAAGACUCGAAUUCUGAUGUGCAGUACUCGUCACUCGCGACCAAAUUAUGCAUCUAAAGUUUGACAUUGCAUUUGAGUUAGCUACCAUUAUGCAAUUUAUAUAUGAGAUGUGGUUUUGAUUCAGAUAUGAUCCAGUAAUUACAUAUUGCUGAUGCAAACCCUGAAAGUUGUUUACUGCUCUUAAUUCCCAGGGAUGUUCACGACAAUGCGUUGGAGGGUGAAUUCCCUCAUUACGGGGUCCAUUUGCUCUUCCUCGUGACAUUGUAAGCUUUUUAAUUGAGGAGUGUGCCAAACCAUGGUUUGUUGUUUUAAUUUCGCAAAUGUUUCCAGCAGAAAGACUGUGGUCAUCUCACAAAUCGAAUUGGCACUUCAACAGGGACUUAAGUGGCAACAAGUUUAAUGGGUCCUUCCCGAUUUCUCAAAUUAGUCAGAUGGAGUACCUCCAAACAUUAAGACUCGGCAGAAAUCGUUUCAAGGGGCCGGUCCCAGAACGAGCGUUUGAAAACAUGACCAAUCUUUUCGACCUGUGAGAAUCCGAAUUUCUAACAUCUGAAAUUAGAGAUUCGAGUUUUUCAGUCCAGUAAUUCAUGCAACUUAAUCUACUCGUCUCUUCAAGCAACCUAAACGUACUAGUCUCGAAUGGUUUUAGAGUUUGGCAUCGCACCAUCCGAGUGCAGCAAAAGCUAUAUACUAGGGGUAGGUGAUCGGUGAAUGGUUUGUUGUGGUGGCUACUACUUCUCAAACUCGUUUGAAUCCGAGUCGCUCUAAUCUCACUAUUCUUAUGUCUCUGGGAUUGACAGGGACUUGUCAAGCAACAAGUUUAACGGGACACUGCCAAACCUGACAAUGAUACAUUCCUUACGCACUGUGUGAGUUUCGGAUGCCCAGGAUGUGUGUGCAGUACCUUACAAGCUUAAGCAUAACUCUGCAAUUAUGUUGCCAGCUUGUCAAUGUUGUGACGGGAAAGUUGUAACCACGCACGUCAGUUCCAUAGUUGCAUUCCUUACAUUGGCUAACACUUGCAGCAGGGAUUGCCAUGGAACAAAAACACAGGAUGUAGCACAGUGUAUCUUGCGGGAGAUUGAUAAUAUCAUCAUCAAUCAGGCCCAGGUGAAACCCGAUGUAUCUUAUGUUUUCAGCAAUAGAGGAUGAAGUGCUCUGAUUCCUGUAUUUAUGUCUUCCACAGGAAUUUGAGCAGGAGUGGAUUUACAGGAUCGUUUCUGAUUUCGUCGUACUUCAACAGAACUGAGAACAACAGCCUCUCAGUGUUGGAUAUAUCUCACAAUCCACUCACACUCGAUCAAAAUUUCUGGAGCUCCUACGAACUUGGCUCGCUCCAGGAGCUGUAAGCUCAUUUUAUCAAGUUUGAAAUUACCAAAAUCUGGAGUGUGGAUGAUUUAACCGGACGCCAAGUAAUAUACGUCCUUUAUCAUGCCUAAAAUACAUUUCAAUAUCGAGUAUAUCUUUAUCAGGUUGAAUGAAUGAUUUAGAGUUUCCGCAAUGCAGUUAUCAAAAUGUUGCAAUGCUACGGAAGUCGCCUCACAAGAUACAUUGCAUUACAGGUAUCUCGACAACAUUCGCACCGAUCCAACACUGAACAUCAGUCGACUGUAUGACCUGGGCUUGCUAAUGUCCAAAAACUCGACAGCAAAUUCAAGCAUGCUGACAGUACUUUCAUUGAUGAACAACAGCAUUAGAAAUGUUGUCUAUGACGCCAAGUCGAUCGUUGAUAGCGCCACAGUUAUCUGGUGAGCAUGCCCUGGCGAUUGAUGGCAAUCCCUUCUGAUAAGGUAGGAAACGAUCACUAAUAGAUCGGCUCGUCGAUCAAUGGUAGCUGGAAUGCAACGAUGAACCGUUUGCUCUGAGUAGCUGUGUACUUAUCAUGUUAACAAGUCUUUGUAGGGAAUUGUAUGACUGGAAUUCAAUUCACAGGUAGCAUUGGUUACCAAAUCGUCACAUUGGGUUGUGCAGACUGCAAGGGAAUCCAUUCUGCAAGUGUCCACAUUCUGAUGACGGAAGGAAAAUGUUCUGUGCACAAACUUGCAUCAACUCAGGUAUUGGUCCUCGUCCUUGAGGUCGAAUGAACAUGUCAUUCUCAUGUUUUUUUGUCAACCAUGCUUAUGAGAGUUCGUCAUCUUGUUUCAGUUCCAAUGCAAGAAAGCAAACGCAAGAUUACGAUAAUCGCUGUGGUGGUCAGUGUAACCUCAUCACUGAUCCUAAUGAUCAGUCUGGCUAUUCUAUUUCAUAGGCACAAAAAGCUCAAGCAAUAUCAGCUUCUGGUCCAACAAAGUAAGGACUUGAUCUCCACUUCUGGGAGUUCACAAUAACAAAUUUGGCAGGAUAGCUGUAGCUCAUGCCUGAUUCAUUCUCAAAAUCAACUGCAGCUGUAACAAUUGUUUACAAAAGUACUGAGGUUUGUAUUCGCUCCAGAGUUUGAAGAGUUUGAGGUGAAGCCAACUAUAUUCACCCACAGCCAGCUCCGAACUGCCACACGCGACUUCCAUCCCGACUUGAAGUUGGGCGAGGGAGCCUUUGGGAGAGUGUACAAGGUAAAAUGUGAACAACGUCGAAGAAAUAUUGCAGAUCAAGACGUCUACUUUUCUGCCGAAAACCAUGCAGAUCUACUGUCUGUGUGCCACAUGGAUGGUAGUAAGCAGAAGAUAGUGGGAUUUGUUUCCAAUUUAUUACAUCGGAGAUUUCGACUAAAUGACACCGUCUUUGUGACUUCUCGCAGGGAAUUUUGCCGAAUGGAAAUGUCAUGGCUGUGAAACUACUAUUCCCCCAAAAGACUUCCAAGGGUUUAGACGAAUUUCUGAAUGAGGUAGUUUUGUUGACAGGAAUGAAGCACAGGAACCUUGUGAAUCUGAGAGGGUGUUGCAUUCGUGAACAACAAAGAUUGUUGGUGUACGAGUAUGUUGACAACUAUGACGUUGACCAGGUUCUUCUAGGUGAGAUGAACCCUCAACGUGAGAACUCUAAUCUUACACAGCGUCUGUGACAGUUUUGCAAUUCUUCAUUGAAAACACUCCAAUCACUUAUUCUUGAUUCUUUUUGGAUUACUCUCACACUUGCUCUUGUUUAUGAACAACCUGAAACCAGUUGAAAUUUGGUGGUAUUUAAGCGAUAAUUAGCACCCUUUACACCUUGUGUUGCCACGAUUUCGUUGGCGCAGGGGGUGCAAACAAGGCCGACUUGAGCUGGCCUGUGCGAUGGAAGAUCGUCUUGGGAGUGGCCCGCGGUCUACAUUACCUCCAUGCACUUGCACAUCCGAGGAUCAUCCAUCGAGACAUCAAAGCCAGCAACAUCUUACUAACCAAGAACUACGACACCAAGAUAGCAGACUUCGGCUUGGCGUUGCUUUUUCCUGAUGAACAGAGUUGUAUAGUGACCAAGCAUGUUGCUGGUACCAAGUAAGCUCAGUAGUUAGUUCAAGUUGUGAAGUUCCGGCUCAGUAGUUACUGGAAGAUGUGAAGUUCCAUGUUUGUGCCCUACUUCUGAAGUAGAAGUGGGUUGAAUGUGUCCACAGGGGAUACUUGGCACCAGAAUAUGCGUCGUGUGGUCGGUUGAGUGACAAGGUGGACGUUUACAGCUUUGGAGUGCUGUGUUUAGAGAUCGUGAGUGGAAGAAGAAACAUUGAUGAUUCUUAUCCUCCUGGCGAAAUGUAUCUGUCCAAAUGGGUGAGGAUUUCGCUCUUUUUUUCACAUGUUUGGUAUCACUACCUUCAAUUGAGGGUGAUCGCUUUGGUCCAAGAUGGACUUUAUUUUCGUAGGUGAAAUGAAUCCUAGUCAUUCACAUGAUGUUUGAGCAGAUUGGGCAUGUAGGGAUCAGCAUAUGGCUUAUUGUCUCGGUGGGUUCGUAGGUAUGGGAUCUGCAUCGGCAGGGUAAGUUGGUGGACUCGGUGGAUCGUACAAUGAAUCUGCGAGAUGAAGAAAAGGUGGAGGUGCUUCGUGUGAUCAACAUCGGCCUACUUUGCAUCCAAAACGAGGCAGAGGAGCGGCCAGGCAUGGAGCGAGUGGUGGCGAUGUUGCAAGGAGAGAGUGAGGCAGAGGUUGUGGCGCUGAAGCCAGGGAAUGAAGGGAACCUCUUGGAGAGCACCAGGUUGUUUGCCGGUUGCAGUAGUGACCUUGGGACUGUAAAGGAGGAAGGCGAGUAGUCUUUCAUGGGAUCGUCAAGUGGAGGUGGAAGUCGUUUAGAGAAAGAAAAUUCCACUGAUGCUGUACUUGAGCUCAGUGAAAUAAGAGUCAGAUGAUUCAUUUAUUUUUGCCACCCUAGAAAAGUGGAGUGCAGGUUGUUGACAUCUUUGACAGAGUUGGGUAGAUAAUUGAUGAAAAUAGUUUCUUCAGUGAAGAGACAGAUAUAGUAUUUGUAGAUGGUGAGCCAACGUUGAAGAGGUUUAACUUCAGAUCUUGUUGACUCCUUAUUUUGCUUUUAUGCCUGCACGACAAUCGCUGUCAGUAAUUCUACUAAUCGACAGUGAAACUGUACCUGUGAUAGACUUAGGAGAUUGUGGAAGGGACACCACUACAGGUGUUAGCACAAAGUGUGUUUGUAUUUGUAAUUCGGGAGUAAAGUACAAGAGAAAAUUCCGACGAUCGAUAGGUAUCGGAUCGGGGGCUUUGUUGUAUCUUAAAUGUUGAUGUCUAGGUUCUUUAGUAUCAACCGAGGUCUGUAUUCAACACCCUCCCUCGCUCCCGUGGUUGAGAUUCCCGGUUUUACUUCAGAGCUACUGCCUUCUCUAUGCUCUGCGUGGAUUUCCUUUUCUGAGAUGCGAACUAUUGGCGAAGAGUCCGUGGAGUGGUCCGAUGGCUCGGAAAGUGGAGUGCCCUCGAGGUUCGCCGGUAAGUUUAUUUGCAUUCCUGAAUUCAGUUUUCUUUGUCUCUAUUCAUUUUGUGUUCUACUGAAAAUAUGUUGUUCUGAGCUUGUAGAUUCGAGCCUUCUAGGUUGUCAUUGAAGUCAUUACAAGUAUAUAAUAUUUUAUGUUAAAAAUAACUUAUGUAUUGUGUACAAAAGGCCUGUGCACAUUUCGAAACAAUCAUGUAAUUCUUUUUAAAAUUUGGUCAUGUUUUUUGUGCAACUAUCAAUCAUAAGAAGGUCAUCAAUAUAUAAUGAAAUUAGAAUUAGUUUAUAAUUAGAUAAUCUUAACUGUAAGUUAUAAUCACCUAUUCCUUAUUAAAAACCUGCUUUUUUAAAAUAAGAGUGUAUUUUUCAUACCAUGCUUGAGUCGCUUAUUUUAGUUUCCAAACCAUAUUUUUUUUUCAAAGAAUUUCAAACCCUUGUGGCUAACUAAUAUAUACUUUUACUUUUAAAUCUUCAUAAAGAAAUUCAAUUUUAACAUCCAUAUAGUAUAGUGUCCAAUAAUUUUAUACUGCAAUUGAAAUCAUGGCUCUAAUGGUGGACCAUCUUAUUAUUAGUGCAAAAGUUUCUUCAUAGUCAAUGCCUUUUUUUUGUUCAAAGCUUCUUACAAUCAAUUGAGCUUUGUAUUUUUGAAGUGAGCCAUUAGUAUUCAAUUUCACCUUAUAUAUCCAUUUAGUUGAUAUAGUAGAUUUAUUUGAAGAUAGAUUUAUAAUGGUCUAAGUUUCAUUUUUGUAUAUUCACUUCAUUUCUUCUAUCAUGGCUUAUUUCCAUCCUUAGUAAAUAAUUGCUUCAUGAUAAGUGGUUGGUUCUAAGUUUGAUAUUGUCAUCAAUCUUGCAAAGUGGUCUUUCAUCCAGCAUGGCACUCUGAUUUGUCUACCUCUUCUUAUAAUAGUUAAUAAUGGCUAAAUAGAAUUGAUUUCUUGAUUUAGAGAAUGUACUUGUUUAAUUGAUGAUAUAUCAUUAUGAGUUUUAAUGAUGGACUAUUUAUCAAUUUUUAUUCAUAGAGUAUAGCUAAAAAUAGAUAUAUUAAUUUUAUUAUUCUUUUUGUAAAGAAGUCGGCGAUUCUUUACAUAGAUGACUGUAAAUUUCACCAUUGGUUAUUUCUUGAUUAAUGUCCUAUGUGUACAUGAGAUGAGCAUCCAAAUAUUUUCAAAUGGCAUAAUUUUGGUUUAUUGCCAAAAGAACAUUUCUUCUAUUGACAUAUUGAGAUUGUUUGCCCUUGUUGGUAGCUUCUUUAAUAGAUAUAUUGUGGUUUUUGCUCCUUCUGGCUACAGAUAAAUGGAUAGUCUCUUCAAUAAUAAUAUGUAUCUUGCUUUGUCAAGUAUUAAUCUAUUUCUUCUUUUCACUACUUCAUUUUGUUGUGGUGUAUAAGAUAAUAUGAAUUAUCAAAUGAUGCUAUUUCUCAUACAAUAUUAGGAAAAGUCUUGUGAUAUAAAUUCUCUUCUAUUGUUGAUUUUGAAACCUUUGAUAAGUUUUCCGUUUGUCUUUUUAUCAUUGCAUUGAAUUCUAUGAUUUCUAAAGGUUUGUUUCUUCUCUUUGAAAAAAUUAAUUCAAGUUUUUCUAAAAUAGUCAUUAAUGAAGAGGAGAAAGUACUUUGUACAUAAUAAGGAUGCAAUUGGUAGAAGAUCACAUAAGUUGGUAUAUAUUAACUCAAGUAUUUCUUUGAUAUAAUAGCUCUAUCUUUGGAUAUUGCAUUUCUUGUUUGUUUUUCUUUCAAAAAGUAUUUACAAUAUAAUUUCUAGGUUGCGAAGGCUGGUAUAUUUUUUGUAUUCAACAUCAUCGUCAUAUGUAGACCUAUAUGUCCUAGUUAGCAAUGCCAUAUGUAGUCAUUUUCUUCUUUCAUCUUAUAAGACAUCUUUAACUGUAGUUUAGAUUCUAACUAGAUUUUACCUAGCUAGAUUAAAUCUUCCAAAUUCUCUAAAGUUUGUAUCACAGACAUACUCAUGUAAGCCAAUAAUUACAUAUAUAAAUAGGUAGAAGUAAGUAAAAGUAGAUAAAAGAAAGAUAAUUCUAUAGUAUUUGGUAUAGAAGCUUUCUAAAAGCUUCAUAGACAUUGCUUUGACUUUAUAGGUGUCUUUAAUUGACUUUUUGGAUUAGAAACGUGGUCAACAAGUUGGCCAUGUGCUGCACAUAUUGUUAGCUUGAAGACCAAGCUAACAAUGUGGCCCACAUGUAGAAAAAUUUGCCUUAUAAAUCAAGGCAUGUAUCCUACAAAGUCAACACAUAUUGAAGGUCCUAUAGAACGUUGCUACAUAGCCCCUAGUUAGAUAGUAUAUAUAGAGACAAGAAUGAAGCCUUCUUCACUCUUGUCAACUUCUUUCUUGUUUCUAGUCUAAGUUCAAGAGUCUUCAUAUUUUUUAGUCUUUGGCAAUAGCCAUUCCAGUUCCUCUUUCAAUAUAUAUACUUUUUUAUUUAGAUUUUGUUAUUUUUCUUUUAAAAAGGCUCACUUAUCUGAAUUACUUUUUCAUCGAAUUCUUGUCCUUGACAGAUUGACAAGAGUACACUUAUAAUAUCAAAGCUUUGUCUUAUCUUAAUUAAGAAUAGAUUAUCUCUUUUUUUUAUAAGACACAAGCAUAUUAGAAGUUGCGGAUUACCCUCUUCUAAACUGAUAUUGUCUUUAGUAUUUUCUUUGUUUUCAAGUCCUCUCUUCUAUUUGUCUUGAGUGAUAUUAGACAUCUUCUCUUUUCUAAGUAUUAUCAUGAGACAUCUUCCUGAAAUGAAGAGUACAAUGGCACAAAUGUAAGAACAAUUGAGGGAGUUAAUGCUUGCAAUGCAUCAACUCAAUUUACCACCAUAAGAAGUACUAAGAUUGGUAGGAGAUGAAGAUAUAGAAAUGAUUGGAGCUGCUUCAAUAUCUACACCAAAUCAUAUCCUUUCUCCUAUAGUGGAAUGCCCUUCUAGUAUUAGAGAGCCAAGAAUUGCCCUAUCCGAGAAGUUUGAUGAUACCAGAUCUAAGUUUUGAAGAUUUAUCAAUCAAGUGCAACUUGUAAUUGAACUUCAAUCCCAAAGCUAUCCAGCUCUAGGAUCGCAAGUUAGAUUCAUUGAUAUGCUUCUUUCAAAUUCACCACUAUCAUGAUUUUCAUCUUUUCUUGAAUGACAAGAUCCAAUAUUGGAUAAUCUAGAGGCUUUUUUGGCAGAAUUUUGAUCCAUGUAUAGAAAAUAUGAUGCAAUUUGUGUUGCAACCAAUAAGAUCUAUAUUUUACGAUAAGGCAAUCGAUCAAUAAUGUUAUAUGCUUCACAAUUUUGACAACUUGCAAUUGAUAUCAAGUGGGAUGAUGUUGCACUUAUUAGCCAAUUUCUCUACGGAUUAUAAUAUGAGGUAAAAAAAUUAAUACUCAACUUACCUGAUCCUCAAACAUUGAGUUAAGGAAUUGACUUUGCUAUGAAGUGCGACAAUCACCUUUUUAAAUUCCAAUUUGAGAAUUGUACAAGUGAACCUCAACGUAAUUAUAAUUCAAUAGCAACACCAACAUCUCUUCAACACAUACAUUCGGAAGUAGAGGAUAUGCAAAUUGAUGCAAUACAUUUCAAACUUCUUAUUGAACAAGAAAAGACUCGUUGUUGUCAAGAAGGAUUAUAUUUAUAUUGUGGAGAAUCAAAACACAUUGUUCAACAUUGUCCAAAGAAACGACGCAACCACAAAAUGAGGAGUAUGGUUGUGAAAGAAGACAAUAUGUCAUAAAACGAAUUUGUCCAAUUACAAUAGAGACCGUGUGGCUAGAACCUUGCACAACAUCUAGUAAAGGUCCUAUUCUCUCCUCAGAACCCUCUCCUUUUUUUACAUUAAAUAUUAUUUUAGGACCUAAACAUUACAAAGUCUGUGCCUUGUUAGAUUCAAGAGCCUCAGCAUGUUUCUUAGAUAAAGAAUUUAUUAAAAGAUAUAGCAUAUCUUUAGUAAAGAAAAUUAAACCUGUUCAUGUAGAAGUCAUAUAUGGUCGUCGAUUGUCUUCUUGAGAUAUUACUCACGAAAUCCUUCCUAUAGAAGUAAUAAUCAAUGGUCAUAAUAGCUUUGUAGUAUUUAAUAUCAUUAGAUCUCCCUCUAAUCUAGUCAUUUUAGAUUUAUCGUGGUUAGAAAAAUACAACCUUCAAAUAGAUUGGAUUUCUCAAAUUCUUACUUUCUCUAAAAGUAUAACUACCAAUGUAGUUGAUCAAGUAGAGAGUCAUAAGUCCAGUUCAAUUAAAUCCAUGUUUAUAGGUGCAAAAGCUUUCUUGCAUGUUGCUAUGAAAGCAUCACCAUAUAUUAUUUACGCCACACCCGUUUUUAAUGAUGCAAAGACUUCACGUGGUAUUUCAAGUCAAUAUCAAGAAUUUUAAGAUAUAUUUGAAAAAAAAAAUGUGGAUACACUCCCGAAACAUCAUCCCUAUGAUUGUUCAAUUGACCUUCAAGAAGGAGCACAAUUGCCAUUCGGACCAAUCUACAAUUUAUCACAAAAUGAGUUGACUGAACUCAAGGAGUAUAUUGAAGAAAAUCUAGCCAAGAAUUUCAUACGCCAUUUUAAAUCUUUGAUAGGAGCUCCAAUUCUUUUUAUGAAGAAAAAAGAUAGAUCAUUGUGGAUGUGUGUUCAUUAUUAAGGACUCAACAAGAUUACCAUCAAGAACAGGUAUCCACUACCUUUAAUAUUUCGACUUCUUGAUCAGUUGAAUCAAGGUAAGAUCUAUACAAAAAUAGAUCUCCGAGGAGCAUACAAUCUAAUAUGCAUGAAAGAAGGAGAUGAAUAGAAGACUGUGUUUCAAACUAGGUAUGGACAUUUUGAAUACAAUGUCACGUCUUUUGGACUUACAAAUGCACCAGUAGCUUUUCAACAUCUAAUGAAUGAUGUUUUUCAAGAGUUUUUGGAUGAUUUUGUGGUUUGUUAUCUAGACGACAUCUUGUCUAUUCUAAGAAUGCAGAAGAAUAUAAACUUCAUGUUUGUCAUGCAUUACAAAAAUUAAGAGAUGCGGGACUCUAUACCAAGAUAGAAAAGUGUGUAUUCUACACUACUCAAGUCAAUUUCUUAAGUUAUAUCAUUUCAAAUGAUGGACUUAUGAUAGAUUCUAAAAAAAUUCAAACUAUUAUAGAUUUGAAGAUCUCAAAAAUGGUAAGAGAUGUCCAAUGUUUUUUGGGAUUUGCCAACUACUAUCAGAUCUUCAUCAAAGACUUUUCUAGAGUUGCAGCUUCACUUACACGUUUGACUUGUAAUGACAAACUUCAAUAGAAUCAAGAAGCGGAAGUUGCUUUUGAAUCUUUGAAGAUAGCAUUUGUUUCUGCACCAAUCUUGUAUCGUGUUGAUUUUUCCAAAGUGUUCUUUAUAGAAAUAGACGCAUCAGACUUUGCUCUGGGUGUAAUUUUAUCACAAAUGGAAACACAUGACAAACUUCAUCCAGUAGCCUUUCAUUCAUGAAAAUUCUCAGUAGUAGAAAUCAAUUAUGAGAUCCAUGACAAAGAACUUCUUGUAAUUAUAGAUUCUUUUCAAGAAUGGCAUCAUUAUUUAGAAGGCACUUCAAGUCUGGUCACCGUGUAUACGGAUCACAAGAACCUUGAGUAUUUCAUCUCAACACAUGUAUUAAAUCAUCGUCAAGUCCAAUGGAACAUGUCUUUAUCAAGAUUCGAUUUCAUCAUCACUUAUCUGCUACGAAAAUAACAAGGUUUGUCCGAUGCCUUGUCUAGAUGUUCUUAUCUUGUACCAAAAGAAGGAGAUGCAGCUUUUGAGCAACAAAGAAUGGUUCUCUUGAAGCUAGAGGAAUUUCAUCUUCGAGCAAUAAAAUCAACAAUGAUUGUUGAUUUAAAUUUUUUCAAGCAAGUCCAAUUAAGUAUGUCUUCAGACCCUCUUGUUCAUGAUAUCAAGAAUAAUUCUUCUAAAUCCCAUGAUCCUUCAAAAUUCGAGUUCAAGAACAAUCUACUCUAUUUCGAAUGACGCUUAUAUGUUCUAGUAGGAGAAGUUUGUUUACAUGUUCUUCAAGCUUGUCACGACUUCGUAACAGCAGGACUUUUUGGAUACAAUAAGACUUUGGAGCUAAUAUCUAGGGAUUUUUGGUGGCUUCAAAUGUGGAAAGCAGUCAAAGAUUUUGUACAAUCAUGUGAUGUUUGCUCAAGAUCAAAAACUCCUCAUCAUCAACCUUUUGGACUUCUUCAGCCAUUAUCCAUUCCAAAACAACUAUGUUCUUCUGUUUUUAUGGACUUCAUCACGGAUCUUCCAAUCUAAGGUUCUUAUGACUCUAUAUUCGUGAUAGUAGAUCAUUUCACCAAGGUGGCAUAUUUUGUAUCAUGUACAAAAUCUAUCACAAGUGAAGAAAUAGCUAAGCUCUUUCUUGACAAAAUCUAUCGCUAUCAUGGAUUAUCCAAGGAUAUUAUAUCAAAUAGGGGAACUCAAUUUGUAUCAAGAUUUUGGCAGACUCUUUUCAAGAUUCUUAAAGUGGAUACAAAACUGUCUUCGAUAUUUCAUCCUCAAACUGAUAGACAAACGGAGCAUGUUGAUCAAGUUUUGGAGCAAUAUUUAAGAUGUAUCAUUAACUACUAACAAGAUGAUUGGACAACUCUUUUGUCAUUGGUAGAGUUUGCUUACAAUAAUACGGUACAUUCUUCUACAAAACAAACACCUUUCUUUGCUAAUUAUGGUAAUCAUCCAUGACUUAAUACUUUUGACUUUUCAAAAGU